UUGAGUGAAGUUCUGGUUGUGACAAAUGGUAUUAAAACGAACUCGGCCUAUAGCCAAAAUGAACUAGAGAGCACUGCAACACGGAUUCAUGAAGACUGACCACGAACCGAUCGUAGUGCUUGUGAUAAAUUUGAAGAAAUUUGAACCCUUAACGUGAUGAUCUAUGCAGACGUAUAUUUAGGCCUACAUCGUUAUUCGCUAGGUAGAUAAUACUUUUCGGCUAGUCAAGGCCGGUGUGUUUUGAGAAAAGCUCCUCCGCUCAAUCUGCUAAGAAGUAGACCAACUGAAAUCCAAAUGCUCCCGUUGGAAACUAUAAAAGGAAAAAAAGGGAGAAUUUCGUUGGAUGUGACAACUUCUGGUUCUUCUUCCUUUCUGGUCACUGGUAACUGUUUUGUUAAUUCUUUCAUGGUUAACUUUUAUCAUGAACUAUAGCCAAAUCCAAACCAAAUCUAUCCAUCUAAAACAAGACCUCGAACAGACGGCUUGCUUGAGGUUUGCAGAUGCGCCUAUUACACACACAAAAAUGAGACUAAUUUCCCAUAGAGCUUACCUUAUAACAUACCAGUUCAUCUACAUAUAUAGGCCUUGUUAGGAUCUGAUCAAAAUAGAAAACAUCUCAUACUCCAGCAUCAUCUUAAACCAACGACCAAUGCAUUGAGGUUGCAACCCAACCCAUGCAGGCACGCACACACAAAAUACAAAAAAAAAGAAGAAAAAGAAAAAGAAAAUGGACGUUGAGGCUGCAAGCACCAGUAGCACAAUGGACUUGUUAACCAGCAGAAACACAAAUUAGAACAAAAAAAUGGAAUGCGUUAAUCAAAAAAAUGAGACAGAGAACACAAUCAUACCAAUAAAUAGGAAUUCGAUGCCAUGGAUAAGUCCACAAAGUUUCAUUUCCAUAAUCAGUAUAUUGAAGACAAUGUCAACAUUGACAAGAAAAAUUAGGCAUCUUUAUAUUACUAGAAUCCUAGAGGGUAUAACAUAUAUAAUUCGCAAUAACUUCAUGGAGUGUUCACCAUGUUUCUGUAAUUAAUACUUUACAACAUUAGCUAGCUACCCAAUUCAUUCUCACCAAACUUUAACCAGAUUCAAGAUCAGCUCCAGCUUCCUAAACUUCAUGCGUGGUAUCGAACAGAUACUGCUGCCGCGGAGACGGUCAGCCAGAGGAAGACAGUCCCGUGAUUCUUCCUCGGACCAAAGACCUAUCGUUUCCGGACCAUCUUCCAACCUCACCAUAUUUGUAGAAUUGGAUCAGGAACCACUGAAGACUGUAAGUAUAAAACUCAAAAGUAGCACUUCUUUCACAAACCAAGUGUGAUUCAGAAUUCAGACAACAGUUUUGUGAGCUUCUCCUCAUCAUCAAAUGCAAGCAACUCUUGUCCACCCACAAAACCAAAAUCAAACCAAACAGCUCCUAGCAAAAACCAUGACUUCUUUGGAUUCAUGCGCAUGCCUUAGAAACAGGACCAAAAUCAUUACCCACAGUAAGAAAGCAGCAGAAGCAGCAGCAGAGAUAGCAUGAGUCUCAUAAGCAGCACUGCAUCACCACCCAUCGUACUUCAUACAACUAAAGAAUCCCUGAGCAAUAAAAGUCAAGCUUCUUAUAUAUAUAGAUCGAUGCAUUUGUGGUAAGGCAUGAAGAGCUUUGUAUUUACUAACAGUUAGAACUGACAAAGUUUUUUAUCUCCUCCAUUGCUUCGUGGAAAUGGUCUGUGUUAGGCAAGAAGUAGAACCCAACAGUGGCCUGAUCGCGAUAGACAAGCUUCACAUCAUGGCCAGCCUUCUUGAGCCCUUCAGCAUAAGCCAGCUGCCAAUCCUGGGUAAGAUCCAGCCCUCCCACUAUCACAAGGCUUUUUGUGAAUGGAAGCUCUUCGAGCUUCAUUCCAUUGGGACCAAAUGGGUUGCAAGCAGCGUGGUCUCUAUCCGCCCCCUCAGGGAGGAAUGCUUUCCAAUACCAGUCCCUGUCCUGAACCGUGACAAAGUACUUCCCAUCCAAUCUCUUCUCCGUCUCGGUUCGCCGGUUUCCACCAAACAUGGGGUUAAGGAGAAUGUUUCCACAGACAUCAAUUCCUGACUCAGCAGCCCUCGCAGCAACAUGGUGCGCGAUGUUCCCACCAGAGCUAUCCCCCGAGAGGAAAACCCGGAGCUUGGCAUCCUUACCGCUGUGGAGCCAAGGCUUGGUGGAGGCCCAUUUGAGGGCAGUCCAUCCAUCAUCAUAGGCACAGGGGUACCGGUGCUCCGGUGAUCGGCGGUAGUUUACAGAUAUGACAACUGCAUUGCAGAGUGAGACAAAGCGGCGGCAGAGUGAAUCAUAGAUGGCAGUAUCGAAGGAUGAAUGGGCGAAGCUGCCGCCAUGGAAGAAGAUCAUCACAGGGAAAGGGUCGGGGGAUGGCGGGGAUUGGAGGUCAGCAUAAAGGGAUGGUCUGGGGGAGUCAGAGGGGGCAGCUCGGUAGAUACGGACAAGAAGGUUGGUUGGGGGAUCGAUAAGGAGAUCGAAGGAGAGUACACCAUUGGCAGGGAAGACAUUGGCAGGGACCCUGCGGUCGAGGAAUUCAGCAAGGUGGCGGUUGAAGGUGCCAUCGGGGCGGCGGAGCAUGUUGUAGGCCAGCUUGAAGUUGGAUAUGAGGACCCAUGUGUUGAGGGGAACCGCCAUCUGUAAGCACAAAGAGUGAAAACCCCAAAACAAGAAAGAGAUUAGGAGGCCUUGGGGUUACUUCUUAAUUCUUCUAUCUAUAAAGGAAUUGAAGGAGAAUAUCGUAUGGAAUCAAAAUUCAAACUUUUAUCUCUACUACUUUGGAAUUUAAGAAAGACAUAAAGACAACAUCGAGUUUGAAAGGGUUUUCUGUCUUUGUUUCUGUUUUUUGUCUUCUUUUUUCCUUCUAUGGAGGGAACGGGAAAGAAUGUAGAUAAAGAUUUAAAUUUUCUCGGUUAGGUGACAAUCCAUGAGAAAUUGCGGGCUUCCUUUUCAUUGUAUGAUUAGAUGCUUGACAAUUAAGAAAACAAUCAAAAAAAAGAAGAAGCAGAAACCCUAGACGGCAAAACAAUACAAACCUCGAUUAUUAUGAGAUUAAUUGGGUUACAAGGAUUCACAAUAAACACCGUAAAUCAUAGCAAAUCUGAAAACCAGAAGAUCUGAAGUUUCGCUAAGAAGCAUCCCACAAAAUCCAAAAACACAAAAAGAUCGAAUUUUUAGCUUCAAUUUCGCAACAAGAAAGGGAAUAAGUUCAGGGAGAGAGAGUCCAUACCUUGGAUUCGUUAGCGUUAACCUCGUUGCUUCCAGCCAUGGCGAAAUAAUACUCAAAUAGAGCUAGAAGAGGAGGAAUAAAGCGGAGAAGAGCCGCAAAAAUCAAAGAAAGCUGUCUCCUUUCUCAUGACAUGGGCUCUAGAGAUAGAAAUCCCAGCACAUCUCUCUCUAUCUCAGCUGAAAUCCUCUUCUUCAUCUAAUCCCCUUCGCUUCCUUCGAUCUCCAGGACAAAUCUCGCGCAAAGGAGUGGCUUUUAAGGAUCUUAGCACGGAGGGAAAGAGAGAGGAACUCAGGGGAAGCGAGCGAGAAAGAGAGAUAAAAGACGAUGGCAGGGAGACAUGGAAGAGGGGCAUAGAAGUAGGAUAAGAAGAAGAAGAGGAAGAAGGGGGAGAGGAGCACGCGAGGCAAGAGGCCACGGGGAGGAGGAGAGGAGUCAAAUGCAAACCGACAGAGAAAUUGGGUAGAGAGAGAGAGAAGGAACGGGGGGGAGACGAAGGAGACGACAAAACGGGCGGCACAAAGAUAACCCGGGGGUGGGAUCCACCCACCCUUCUUCUCCCCGUGGUUUAGUGUCUCAAUCAAUCUCUCUUUAAUUUUGUGGUUUAUGCACGCAGACACUGAAAACUUAUCUAUUUACAUGUAGAUGCCUAUAAUCUUCAAGAUUUCAAUCAUAAAAAUAAUUUAUCCCUGCCUAGAUUCUAUAAUAAUAGAAGCCUCUUUUCAACUUGUGAAGUAGUAUAAACUGUAAAAAUGAGCAUGGAGCUCUUCUAUGAAAUAGUAUAUAUUAUAGGUUAAUUACUAAAGAAAGAUGAAAAUAGUUUAUUUUUUUUUCUCAUGAAUAACAUUACUUGAGCGGGUUUGUUUAUUGCCUUCUUGUUUAUUGUCUAAUACUUUCUUUACGUAUCUUCCUCUUGUUUAAUAGUAAACACGACUACAUGCUUUCUUGGUCCACGUCCUUAUUAUAUGGCAAAAUGGAGUGCAAGUUGUUAAAGUUUAAGAUGACUUUACAUUGAACAAAUAUUAAGAAUUAUAUCUUUAGUAUAUGUUUUUAAUUAUAAGGAUAAAUUUGGAUCAACGCAAGUGGUUAUUUGAACUAUUAUUAUGAUAUAACAAAAAUAACAUGUUAUGGACAAAUAUAUUGAAAUUAACGGAUUUAUAUGCAAGUUUUUUAUUCUUUGGUUUAAGAAUAAGAGAAAGUUAAACACUUCGAUGUAAAUCCCAUGAAAAGCUUAUCUAAUAGCUAUGUAACUUGCUUAUCUUUUGAUGCUUACAUACAAGACCUAAAAUGCUUCUCUACUAUUAGAAACUCCCAUUUAGAAGAUUUCAUGAAAGAAAAUGGUAUCAAUAUUCUUCUUUAAUAGCUAUGUCUUUUUACAAAUGAUAGGAUUUGCUUGUUGCCAGCUCUAUAUAGGUAUUGAUAAUUCCUAUGUUAAAUUGAAUAAGAGGUAUUUUGAUCAUAUAUAUGUCUCAGCAAUUAACUUUAUUUAAUAUAAUUUGACUAUGAUUUGUGGUAUAAGACUUGAAGCAAAUGGUCGAAUUUAUAUAUGUUCUUUGACUUUAAUGUGGCUGCAAUCUACCAAGUGGAUCACAUUUUAAGGAAAAAAAGCUAGAAUUUAUAUUAUCCACUCUCAUAUGUUGAAGUUUCUAAUCUCAAAUGUUAUUUGUUCAUGGAAUCAAAAGCAUCCAUUCAAUCAUAUUUUGGUUUCUAGUGUUACUUACAUGAAUCACAUGAGCCCAAAGCUACCUUCUUGGAUUAUGAGAAUAUAAAAGAUUUUGUUAUAAUACUGAAUUUUAUGUUGAUUUAUAUACAAAAAUUAUAGUAAUAUUUGGAAAAUGUAUAAAAGACAAGAAGCUUAAGAACAUGGAGGAAGUAUAAGUCUCCAAUUGAUACACUAUUCUUUCAUGUCAAAAUAUUUAACUUCAAAUAUUAUUUCAUUACAAAAUCAUAAAUAUAUAUUUAGUAAUACUUCUCCUUUGUAGUGUAAGUUAUCACAUGAGGGUGCUAAUUGGUUUGAUUGGUAAAGUUAUUGGAUGCUAAAUAUUAGCAACCUAGAUUCAAAUUUUGUUCGUAUUCUUUCUUUGACUGAAUUUCCUCUCAUUUUAAUUCUAAAACGUGAAAAAGAAAUGAACAAAUGGAUCAUGUAUGCUAAAUGCUAAGAUCUAAGAAUUAGGGAUGUUGUGGAAUAGGCGUAUUUCACAAAAUAUGUAUAUUUUGGCAUUUGAUUGAAGGAAUAAGUACUGAAAAUAAAUACGGAGAAUAAGGUAGAUUUAAUAUGCAUCGAACUUCACACUUUUUGAGUAUUUAUAGAGUAGAUUAGGAUAAAAAGGUAAGUGAAGGAAAUAGGAGCAAAAUUAACCUAUUCCGCCAAUAAAUCUAUUACACCAAUUUAAUCGGAUAGACUUAUACCGUAUAGGCCUACUUAUACCCCAAUACAAUACAAAGUUCUAUUCCAUCGGUUUGGUAUUUGGUGCCGGGAUAUCCUUCAAUCCCUAACUAAACACAACAAAGAUAUGGUUCAUGCAGUACCAAAAUUGACAGGGAGCUACAUGCAAGGCUUUGAAAAAUUGGGGAGGAAAGGAGCAGAAGUGAGGAGGAGACGAAGCCACGAAGGUUUCCUGCGUGAAGGCGACGCGGGCGCCCAACGCGACAAAAGAAAGGCGCCUCUUUGUUUGACAAAGGGGACGUUUCCAUGCCUUUUUUUUUCUCUUGCCAACGAAUAAAAUUAUAUGCUGAACUAAAAUGCUCUCCUUAUCAUCUUUGGCUUUGUCUCUUAGUGGGGGGAAUGCUUCUCCUCUUUGGCAACGUGACUGCCUUCAAUUCCACUCACACUAACCUAUGGUCUCCAUACAUCCACCCCUUCACCCUUCUCUCUCAUCUCCAUUAAUUAUGGGAUGGAUCAAAAGCACUACGGCAAGUGAAGCAAUUAUUAUAUCAAUGAGUGGGCCUCCCCAUAUGGUGAGUUUUAAUUGGUUGUAUUAUGGAGUGGAUGUGCUCAAUGUCUACAAACUUUGUGUUAUAACCAAUGUCAACAAUAUGGUUAUGGCUGUGGGUAAGUUAUGUAUCUUCAUGACAACACUUGGUGACUUGCAGGUGGCAAUGACUAUAGGUAGUUUAUAAACCUGUAAAAUGGUAUAGGAUUGGUGUUACUUUCUUUAUUUUACCCUUUUCAUAUCGAAAAAUUGGCUCCUGAAUUUAAUCAUUAUUGCCUACAGUGUGUAUAUAUCUAAUUGAAUCUGGCUUAUUAUAGCAUCGAUGCAUCGAUCAAAAUUCUUUUGAAUUUGAUAUUUUUGAUGUUAUGCAUCAACUAACUCGGUGCUUAUUAUAGCAUUGAUGCAUCAAUCAAAACAAAUCAGUAAGUUCGAGCAAUCAAAUCAGGUCUGAAAUUAUUAAAAAAAAAAUCCAAGUAAGGCCUAGACCCUAAAGAACCUCAUUGUAUAGAAUGGUAGGUAGCACACAAUAAAGUAACCUUCGAGUUUCUGGCAAAAGUGUCAAAUAAUCCCCUUGUGUAGAAGCAUUCGUUUGUUAGUCAUAUAGGUUGGGCCAAACCUAUCAUGCAGCCACCAUAAUGAGAAUUUAUUAAUUAUCCUGAUAUGAUAGACAUAAGAAAGAUUAGUUAGCUAUAAGACAAUGUAUGAUUUUAUCUGGCUGUUGUAAUUGAAGUGGGUCAUAAGAGUAUGAUUUAUGAUGAUCAGAUCAGUGAGGUUUUACUGAAGUAGAAAAUUUCUACAUGGAAAAUUCAUGAAUCAUCAAUGAUCCAGGUUAUAUGAGUUAUAAUACAUAGGAUGUAUGCCCUCUCUUUUUUUUCUUUUUUGUGAAGCAGAUGGACUUACAACUCAUAUAUAGCGAGUGUAAUACAUCUAGUAAAGCCAAAAUACAUGCUAUCUUAAAGCACUAAAAAUAGUAAAAUAAUGAUGAGCCAUAUGUAGUGCUACCCAAUCAACUGUUCUAUUUUUCUCUCCGAAUAUAUGAGAUGCCUGAAAGCGAGACAGCUGCCAAGACAUACAUCAAAUAUCAAGGAGCAAUGACUGGAUGCACCACUAUUGCUACAUGAUAGUUUGACAUCUAAUAGAGCCAUGCUUGGUUUCCUUUUGUUAUAAAGAUUAACCAAAUAUCACAUUCAACUUGGAAGUAAAGUCUUCAUUAAACCUUUGUAGUUUCAACUCUCUUUGACAUGAAAUGGUGCCAUAUCAUGUCAAUCCCCUUGCAAUAGAGAUAUGAGUGUCGAAAAUUUCUAAGAGCCUAAAGAGUGUAUAGUUUGUUCGACCCAAUUUUAGAUUUGAUAUAAAUCUCAUAAAGGUAUGUGAGGUGGUGCAUCAAAGCUAAAUCAAAUGCACAAUAUUGGAGAGACACGGUUCUAACAAAAAUACAUCAAAUUGCUGUCUUAGAUGCACAUUUUCGUUUCCCCUUGAAUAUCUCUCUCCGCACCAUUAUUCGAAUCACAUUCUCUUUCUUCAAUCACUAAUGACAUUUGGAAGCAUGUACUUUUGUUAAACUGUGGUUCCAAGUUUCAAACAAUUAAGACUUUGUGGAGUCUUCCUUUUCUCUAGAUAGAUAAAAGAGUAGAAAAUAAUUGUUGAUCAAGUGGACAGAUCACAAUCUUACCAUGCCUCUUGCAUGCACUGCAUGCAUCUGUAUCCAAUGCAGUGUUAAGUAAAGCAAGAGAUAAAAAGAAAGUGUAUUCAAAAGUUAAAGAGUUUCUUUAUUAGUUCUAACAACAUUGCACAUUAAGGUUCUAGAAAUAUCACUAGUUAUCUAAUUUGAGAUAGAAAAUUGGAGCAUUUUCAAAGUAAGUUUUUUUUUUGAUAUAUUGAUCAGUAUAAAGCAACCUAAAAAAUAAGAAAUAUCUAGUUUCGACACGAGCAAAAAUGGUGUAUUUCCAUCCAAAAUAGUAAUAGAAAAAAAAAUCUUGAGAUAUAGAGGGUAUCUUUUUUUUAUUAUUUUUUGAAGCGAAUGAUGCAUACAGUUUUGAUAUGAAUACAUUCAAUAAAAUCAGAAAGCAACAAAUUUCAGAAUGCUCUACGCAGCUCUCUUUCUCCAACUCAUAGAGUAUCUCCGAAAUGACUAGCGGCUUAACAUAGAGUAUCUUGUGAGAAACUAGGCUUGUAUAAAUACUUUUUACCGGGCCAUCCUCACCAUUUAUUUAGUGCAGUCCAUGUUCCACACUGUUUAUAUUGAUCUCAUAUUUAUCCAGAUGAAACAUAAGUAACCAUGGGGACCAAUAUUGGAUUAGUCAACGAAUCAGACAAUCUCAAUGCGUGGAAGCACCCACUGAAUGGACGGCAGACGAGGUCUCCAAUAGUAGUUCUGAAUGGACAGCAGAAGAGGCCUCUAAUGGCAGGUGGUGGGUGGUGAUACUGUAGAAGACGAAAGGGUGAAGACAAGCGCAGCACGUCGUAUCUAUUCCAAGAUAUACUCCCUUCCAAACCACCAAACCGUGGGCGAUGCUACCGAAAGAGGUCGAUUUCUUGGGAAGGGAGCGAGGGAGAUUCUCGCAGUCACCACUCGAAACGUGUCAUCAUACCACUCUUCUCUGGUUCUCCCCCUUUCAACAAGCUGACCCCAUGUCAUGUGACAACUUAAACUAAUGAUGAUUGAACUGGUAAGCCAUGGGUUGGUUUGCUAUCAUUUCCACCUGCAUCAUUGUCCAACGGACUUGUUCAAAGUUUAAAAUAACAAAAAAAAUAAGUCCAGUUCAAGCCACAUUUUAAGACUAAGAUCAUGCGAGUUGGAGGGCUAUAUAUAUGAGGUUAUAUAUAUAUUUAAUUUUAUAUCCAUUAUGUACCAGAUAGAUUUUGGAAGUUUAUAUAAGACUAAUAAAUUUAAAUAACAUAUUUUGACUAAGAUUAUAAAGUUUGGAUCACCAUAGAGGGCUAUAUACUUUAAUCCUAUAUCUACUAUGUACUAUAUAUAGUUUUUGGAUAUUUAUAUAAGGCCAAGAAAUUCAAAUAACACAUUCCGACUAAUUUUUUUGGAUGAAAUUCUUCUUACAAAUAGUAUCAGAGUCAGAUUCGGUCCAUAACUUAUGUGGACAAGUAGAUAUUGCAGCACUGGUGCAUGAAAACUGAUCACAAGAUGAUCAUCGUGCUUGUGAUUAGAUUUGAAUGGAUUUAAACUCUUAGCCGGAUAAGAACGCUAGAGGUUAAAUUGGGGAAGUAUGUGAGAAUUCCGUGCAUGCGUGUGUUUAGUUCUACAUCGGCUACUUAUUGAAUAGAUCUUGGAUAUUUAUACAGAGCCAAAAAUUUCAAAUAAAAUCUUUUAGCUAGUCUUUUUGCGUGAGAUUCUGGAUUGUUACGGUAUACAAUUCUAAAUAGUCAUCAUAUCAUUCGUUCAUGAAGAUAGAUAAGUGACAAACAUGGUCUAGUAUAAAGCACGCAAAACAUACUGUUUAUAGCAUGCCAUGCUAUAUUCUGUUUGAUAGCCAUCUGUCUUCAUAAUAGAAUAAUAUGACAGCUGUUUGGUACUGUACAACUCUUUGCAGUGCAAAACUCAUGCUACAGAGGAUCGAAACUCAAGACCUUUCGAGAAUCAGCUCGUUUAUUUGACGACAUGGCUCGAGUUCAUUGCGGUCGAGCACCGAUUUCUUUUGAUUGCGAACCAAUCCAAAGCUAGUGUAAACGCUUGUUUGCAGCCCUCAUGAGCUGGGAGAGCGACUGAGGAACGAACUGGCUUUAACUAACUCAAAUGGACUGUUUGUCCAACUCCUCACGGGUGCAUGCAUCAUUUCAUUAAAGAAAAGUUUGUAGUGAAAUCCUUCCAACGUUAUUCUGUCUCAUUGGCUGACCCUUUCCAAUUUCCAAUCACUUUCCGGCAGCGUAAGCCAACCUGCAGAGACACACUUUAUAGCAUGUGGACCAGAAUUUCUCUGAAACCGGGCGAGACCGGUCAAUUCAAUCAGGUCGGACCCGAACUUUUGGCCUGUUGGUCAUGUCAAGUGACGGCCCUGCAACAACUUGCCAUUGAGCCAAAAUGGCCGCCUUAUGACGAGGAUGGUCUUGCUGUCAUAUUGGACAAGUUGAAUGAAGCCGUAGCAUAUGGAAUUUCGAAUAAGAACACUAGAUCUUGGUCUUCGAACAAGUGAUCUUGUCGGCGAGAAUAUUUAAAGCGUGUUUGGUCGAAGGAAUUGGAUUUUGGAAUAAAAACAAAAAUAAAUGACUUCCGUUCCAACGUUUGAUUGGAAAGAUUUCGAUUUUCAGACAAUGAAAAUAUCUUAAUUCUUUAAAAUUUAACCUAUGGUGCUUUUUGAUAUUUAUAUUUUAUUUUGAUUCUAAUUUAACCUAUGCUACAUGAUGCAAGAUCUCUUUAAAUCCAAGUUCUCAUAUCAUUCUUUGUCAUUAUAUAUAUUGGUACAAAGGAGCCGCCUGAACCUAAAAACGAAGAAAAUGCACUCCAUAAGCAUCGGUUCUGAGUGUGUUAAUGCUGCCUAACGAGAAAUUCCCUUCUUGUGGUUUAGUCACCGGCCAAUCCGCAGCCUAAUUGCCUUCUUUAUAAGAAUGGGUUUCUUUGACGACCCAAAUGGAUGAUCUCAUCUAGAGAAUAUCCUUGAAAAGUAGAUUAGCAUUAACUCUACGAACACAAGGAUCAUUAAUCCAAGAUAUAACUAUUAGUGAGUCCACUUCUAUUCAGACAUGGUUACAAAUAUGGUAUGCCAUACCGGGUCAAACCAGACGGUAUGGAAUGUACUGUACUAUUCCGAUUUGGUAUCGGUAUUCAGUACGAAUGGCGUACCGACAUUCGGUAUACCAAAUAAAUCUAUAUCGUACCGUACUGAUACUAUACUAGUGUGGCAUCGCUAUGGGAUUCGGUACCGAGAUGACGAACUUUAGUUACAAGCAAGUGUUUCCCUAUUGACAAGCUGGUCAAUCACUCAAACAGUAGCUUUUACCAAAAGAGAUUAGUUACGGGCAAAAUCUCGAGUGUAUGCUGUUCCAUGCUGGAAGAGGAAAUCAGAAUGAAUCACAUUUAAGGUAGCCUUGAAGAAAGCUUUUGAUAGGUUAAGUUUGGACUAUCUGCUAGCAGUAUUGAAGGCAGGGUUCCCACAGUUAUGGAUCAAUCGGAUCAAAAACAUUCUAUUCACAGGUAAAGUUGCAAUCAAUACACAGAGCAAUUGGAAAUUGGAUUCAUUGUAAUUGAUAUAUUCAUCAGGGAGAACCCGGCUCCCUUCCUUUCCAUCUUGGGAGUGGAACCACACUGUAUUUUAAAUAAAGCAAGCAAUGCUAACUUGAUUGAAGGUCUUGGUAAUGUUUGGAUUCAAGGAGGUAUUAAGCUGUUACAAUAUGCUGAUGACACUUUAAUUUUCUCCUGAUGCGAUUCGAGUUGGUCUCUGAACUGUCUAUCAACUUUCAAAUAUAUUGACCUCUCAAAUACCUUGAAUAAACAUUAAUGGGAGAAAAAAGACUAUAGGCAGCUUCAUGCUCCAGCUAUUUGAGCUGUAAACUAUAAGAGCUGCCUCUCAAAUACCUCAAUUUUCCACUCUUUUUAAGCCAACAGAGCAAAAUGAAUGGCUUCCUCUGAUUUCAAGAGUAAAGAGGAGACUAGGAAGAGAGUUAGCUUCAAGUUGGGUAAUGGCAGGAAGAUCGAUUUCUAGGAAAAAAAAAAUUGGCAAGAUAAUUCACCCCUUUGUCAUACUUCUCCAACCUAUAUCCAUACUACAAGAAAAAAAUGCGUAAUAAUAGCAUCGCAAUGGAGUAAAGGACAUUCAUAUUCGUAGAUUAAGGCAACAAGACCUCAAAGUUGGAAGUGUUAUAAUGACAUGGGGAAGUUGCUUGAGAGGCUAUCCAGUAUCGGGAUAAUCUCUGGGGCAAGCAACUUAGUGUUUCUCAACUAUCUCAUUUUAUAAAUUUCCAUGGAAGCUGUCAAUCCUGCAAAAGAUCAAAAUAUUUCUCUGGUUAUGUCAUGAAAAUUGUGUAAACAUAAGGGAAAAUUUGAAAAGGAAGACUAGGAAAGACUUCAGAGGAUGUUCUAUGUUUGGAGAUUUCACUGAAUCUAUGGAUCAUUUAUUUCUUAGCUGUCGUUUGAUCAAAUUUAUAUGUCUCGAAAAUUAUUUCUUAGCUGACAUUUGGUUUUCCCCUUGCAAUUUGGUAGCUAGAUUGGGUAGAUAGGCUCGAGCAGAUUCUAUACUCUUGGUCAUGUUUCUCAACAUGAAUAAAACCUUUUGGUUGGAUUAAUUUUGAAACUAAGUUCAUGUGCUAGCCAACAUGCUCAAAACUCAUAUGAUUCUAGUAAUAUUAUGGUAGCACUAGUAUAACUACCAUGCAAAUAUGCUACUACUUUUUAUCUUAAUAAUUAUUUUAUUCUUUAAGUGAGAUAACUAUAUAAGAAUGAACUAUAUGAUGAAAAAACGUGGUAUUACUUGUUGACAUCCAACUUAUAAAUAUAAAAGUUUAAUGCCAAAUGUAAAAAAUUGGUAUACUAUCACCUAGUUCUGUGAAGUCUAAUUAUUUUUAGAUGGCAAGCGCAGAGGAGGGAUGGGAGAGGAGAAUUUGUUGAUUUCCCAGAAGGUAUUAAACAUACUGAGCAAACUGAUGGGGGUGGUCAUGCCCAGUUUGUAGGGACUUGGGGUAUUGAGAAUGUCUUAGGUAUUGAUACCACAUUGAUCUAAUCUGAGACGCUUGGCAUGAGCCAUGUUGGAUCAAAUUCUCAAUCCUUGGUUGGAUGUCAAAUCUAUUGGCAUGUAGCCUCUUGGCAUUAAACAAUUAGAUUUUGAUGAUAUGGGAAGGUUAUAAUUCUAUAGAUAAAGGGUUUCAACUGGUUCAACUGGAAAAAUUGCUCACUAUUAUCAUCAAUGACAUGAAAAAAUGAUACCCUACACCAUGUGCAUCACAUCAACGAUGCGCCACGCCAACCAAAAUUUUCAUUUCUAUAUGCACCAUUCAUUAUACAGCGCAUCUAGAAUUAUUGCACUCUCCCAUCUUAUCUUAGAUUGUUCCUGUGGUGCACCAUUGAUGUGGUGCACCUGGUGUAGGGUAUAAUUUCUCAAUGACUUGUAUUUGUAUCUUGCCUAUGUUCUCGCCAAAUUCUUAUCUCAAUAAUUUGGAUGAGGCCUCAAAACCCUACCCACCAAAACAGUAAUAGAUAUAUGAUUUUUAAGAAUAUAUAUAUACACACAGACACACAUAUUUGGAUGAAUACAUAAGUCAAUAAGCAUAUUCUAAAGUUUAUAUAAAUAUAUAUAUUUGUUUGUUUGUUUGUUUGUUUGUUGAAGGAAUAAUGAAAGAUGGUAACAAGGAGAGAGAGGAAAAAAAAUAAAGGGGAAGACAAAAUCCAAUGUGUGAGAAAGGUGGCAGUAUUGUGCCUGGGUCCCAGAACUUGGCCUUUCCUAACUCGGAUUCCUAGUUUUUGCUCACAAAUUCGAGGAUAAAAGUAAUGGGGUGACAUUCUGGACUACAUCGGUUGUGUCUUCGGUCGAGAGGAUCAAAGAUGGAUCGAAGAAUAGCAAUGCAAGUACAGCCAGAAAAAAGAAAACAUUUUUUUCUCUUUGUACACGAGUUACCUUUGGUUCAGGAGUGAGAAAAGAUAGAACAAGAAUAGCUUCAUUUGGAAUAGUUAUUCAACAAAUCAUAUUUUGUUUGAUUAAAAUUUCUGGAACAACUCUAGGCUGAAUGAGCCUUUGCCCACAGAUAGAUAAAGUCGGGAAUAAAUGAAACCUUGUUCUGGAAAUAAAUUUGUUGCAACUUUCUUGAUAUAGUUAUGGUAGGAAUAAAUAGAUUUGACCUGAAUAAAAACUAUUCUUUCUUUGUUCUUUCUUUUUCAAACUUGUUUUGGUUGGAACUAGUCUUUUUCACUUCUCUUUUUUUUUUCACUGAUAGAUAAAGUGAAAUGCAACCAUCUGGGAUUCAGUGAAAGAGUCUUACGGGCUAUUGGCAGUAUAAGCUUACAGGAGCCUUUGAAAAUGGUUCUUAUCUAGUGUUGGGCUGUCCAAUUAUUAAAAGGAUACAGGCUCACUUGAAAACAAAAUUCAAGGUAAAAGUUUCUCCAGGAUCUUUGAUUUCUUGCUAAAAUAUAGCUAUAAGGUGGCCAGAAUUAAGAAAUAAUUCAGAGAACGCUGGAAUUUUCUGAUUAAGUCCAUUUGGUGGAGAAUCAGGUUGGAAAGAGAGUAAGGUUCUUCAAGGCCUCAUCAACUUUGUAGUAUAUUGUUAGAGAAAUCAACAAGUAGGCUUCAAUAUCGUCUUCUUAAGGCACAUGGAUGAUGUAGAUUCAAAGCUGCCCUCAUUCAUUUCAACUUCCCAAUGAAAUGGAAUCAUAGAGAAACCUACUUUCUUUCUUUUUUUUUGGUACAUAAAACUACUUUCUUAUUUAAAUAAAAAGAAAAACCGAACCAAACGAAACUAUGGUGAAUAUCCAAUAAACAAUUUGGACUCUGGUCCAACAGUUAGAUUGUUUUCUAGUCUUUUACUAUUUUGCUUAAAGCUUGCCUAUAGUUUAGUAGAAACCUAAUGGAAUAUGCCGAUGCAUGAGGUGAUCAUGAAUGAACUUUCUGCCUUAAUCUAUUAUAUAUAGAACUUUGUUUGACUGUCUCGUUUGCUGAAGCCUCUCAUCUAUUACAUGGUGGAUAUGUCUGCAUGUGGCCCACAUACAUAGUUUACUUGGAAAACUUUAGGAGGUAGGUAAUUAUCCACUAUCUCUAGUUAUACCUAAGGUAGUUUUCUUGAUGGAAGAAAACUGACCAUAUUUAAUUAUCUGAUAAGGGUGCCUAGUCUAGCUUAUUUUAAACCUGUGAUGUCUAUCAGUUUUAUGACUUUUAUGGAGGCAUAGAUUAGAAGACUUCUACUUCCUAGUCUUCUUGUGGAUAACUCUAAUCAAAUAUUUGAACAAUUAUGGCUGGAAGUGCGUAUCACCAAUAUUAUCAAUAUAUAAAAUUAUUUUGCUUGAGAUAAUUUCUCACAUUACAUCCCUCCCACAUCUCUAUAUUUCAGUUAUAUUUGAUGGAGAUGGAAAACAUUCGGAGGCCCCUACACUGUAGGACCUCUAUUUGUUCCGUUUACCUAUUUACUUUGAGCAAUAUAUUAUUAUGUCUGUGCUCGUGAAUGAAGUUACAUAUUGAUCUAGUCAAGUGCAGUAUCUGAUCAGUUACAUGCAGAUCUGCAUGCAUAUACAAGAAUAAACUUUUUCAUUUACUUUUCUUUGUUUCUUUUCCUGUAAAACACAGUAACAGAAAUUGAAAAUGUGAAUACAAGUCUCUAUUAAUUAUUGAUUCAGUGGCUAGUCAUCCAUGAAAGCAGAUUUCACCAGAUCACAAGAAAGAUUACAGAAGAAACCAUGACUCCAUGAAUUGAAUUUCUUCUUUUAUCAUUAAACAAUUAAUGAAAAGAGGUAGCAUCUUUAGAAUAUAUCAUGCACCAUUAGUAACUUGUGGGCUUAUUGUGGCUGGAGUUGGUUGGAUGAAUGCUUUCAAACUAUUUUUCUUUAAUUCCUUCUUUCCUUUUCUUUUUGUUUUUAUUUCUUAUCUUUAGUUUAAAUGCAUGUCGAGCGGGCUGUGUGUCCACACUUUCUAAUUUCCAGAGGCCCCUAUCAUAUGUUCCAAGUAUCAUAGCUUGUAAUUUGUUUGCAGGUUCUGAUGAACUUUUAGUCAUCAAUUGUUUGGAACAAGUGGGGUUUUGUAAUAUUUGAGGCUGAAGCGAACCGAGACCAGAUAAAGACCCCAGUGUGGAGUCUGGUGAUCACACCCAUGGAGGUGUUCUAAAAUGGAGAAAGGACUCACCUCAGCCUUAUUUUAAAUGGAGAGAAGCUCAGGACAAGUCCCCAACCGCUCCCACAUUACAACUAACUGAGAAUGGAGACAAGAGAACAAGAGUCAAAAUAUGGUGGAAAACACAUCAUAAACAAGGAUUUAGCUCUUCCACUAUUUUCAAGGAACAUUAGAAAAUUACAGAUUCUUCACUUGUAGUGCAACCACACUGACAUAAACAAUAGUUGGCCGCCAAAGUUUCAUGAAGAACUCAACCUGAGUAUUAGUUUUCUGAAGGUCCAAGGGGCAAAACUAAGACCUGUGCCCUAUCUGUUGUUGGUGAGCCUGGGAAUUCUUACAGUGUUAAACAAAUCUGGAAGGCAAUGGCUGCAGUAAUGGAUAUCUUGGUUGGAGAGAUUGGAGUGAUGCUGAGUCUCCAAGCACGCAUUGCUUUGCAUAUAUUGGACAUUAGUGGUAUGUAGAAACUGUGAGAAGACUUGGAGAAGUUAUAAGCACUACGCACAAAAGCACCCUGGCCUACUAAGUUUCUUGGAAUCAAAUGAAACUCUACCAGCUGGAGGCCUUGAGUGUUCUUUAUGUAAGAUAUAAUAGAUUAAUCUAAUAACCUUUACAGACUCUGUAAGAAGGACCAGAUGCAAGCUUUGGCCAGAGAAGCAGACCGCAAUGGUUGAUUACCUUGUACCCGGGUAAAAGAUUUAUUUUUUCCUAUGGCCACCACAGAAUUCACAUUAGUUUAUAUUUUUUUUAAUAUAAACUUCAACUUCUAGUCUGCAAUUCGAACACAACGAGGGAAGUCUUUUAUUUUCAAAGCCAGUACUGUCAAAGAGGGCCUACAUUUGAAGUACUGGGGGUCUUCUGGGUAGGGCCAAUCUAACUCUUAGGCGGCUGAAGCGGUCGUCUAAAGCCCCAGCCCAAAGAAAGGCCUACCAUAGUCCACAAUAAAGUAGACGGAAGGAUCUGGCCCAAGUCCACCAGAGCGUUGGAUCCUCUCUCUCUCACCCUUCGCUCGGUGGAGACGGAAGGAUAUAAAAUCUCUAACCCUAAAUUUGGAUUGUUUUCUCGCGAAGAAACCUCGUUGAGAUCUACCUUACAUUGAAGCUAGGAUCGGAUUUCUCCACGCAUGUGGGAGCUUUUCUUUCCCAAGAUCCAUCCUACCAUGGAGUUCCGUCGCCGAUCGAGGGUUUCUGUGGUGUUCUUGAUCAUUCUCCUCCUCGUCCUGAGGUUCGCCGAAGACUUGUGCUUCGCCGAGAACCAUCGGCCGAAGAACGUCCAGGUUUCGCUCCGGGCUAAGUGGGCCGGUUCUCCGUUGCUGCUGAAAGCCGGGUAGCCUUCUUUUCGAAUCUUUUUUAUAUUGAUGCGUUAUUUUUUUGGAUUCCUUUUGGAUAUAAUAUGCACAAUGAGAUUUUGUAAUUUGGAAAGUGAGGUAUCUGAUUAGAUGUGUAAAUCUUGAAUGUUACUUUGAUAUACUUUGUUCCUUUUUCGCUAAAUAAUUAAAUUCAUGAUUGUCAAGAUCUUGUUUAAUUUUUAUUCGGAAGAAAGAAUUGGAGCUCUCCCGAUAUGAACAUACUUGAUCUUCUUUUAUUAUUAGGGAGCGAUUGGCCUGCCCUCCAUUAUUUAGUUAUAAAAUUCAUAUGCUACAUUUAUUUGAUCCUCCAUUAUUUCCUCCUCUUAUCUGUAAGAUGUGUCGCCAAGGAUAAACUUCAUCUUGCCUACAAGAUGGAGUUUUUUCGAUUUUGUAAAGAAAUUCAAUGAGUUGGAACUGAACUUAUUAAAUAAAUUUUUAAAGUUUUUUGCACUUAUUAAUAUUUUUUUAUUUUUUUUUAAAAAGGUCUUUCUUAGUAAGUUCACUUUAGGCCUCGAAAUGCAUUGAGUCGCCCCUACUACUGGGAUUCCACGUUUAAAAACUUAAUGAUGUAGACUUUGGGUUAGCGCAGUUUAGCAAGUUUCCACGCAAUGUACGUGCAUUUUAGUGCAAUCCAUUGUAGUUUGGGUAUUGUCAGCAGUUUGAACUACGUAUGGCCAACAUGUGCUAACAGAAUAGCUUGAAGCAAAAUUGAGUAUACAUAACUUAUUAAGGGGAUAAAUAUGUAUUUUGGUUACAUUGUUCAUUUGCAUAUGAAGCCCUCAGAAAAAGAGUGUGUAUUUGGUGACUAAUCUUUCGAGAAUUGAGAAUUACAUAUUUAUUGCUCCAAGUAUAUUUUAUCCCCCAAGAUUAUUCUAUACAUGUAUGUAUGAUGGGGAGGAGGGGGAUGCAUUUUAGGAAAAAGUGGUACAAAGAACAUACUCAAAUGAGAUCUACAUGCAAGAAGUUAUAGAAUCCACGAUAUUAUUUAAGGGCGCAUUUGGUUCCCAACUAGAAUUGGAAUAGAAAUUAGAAUAGCCAUAUCCUCCAAUGUGUUUUAAUUCAUGUCCGAAAUCAAAAUCGGAAUCAGAAAGGAAUUUGAAUACAAGGUGAGAUUAGGAUUUUCGUUUGGAGGAAUUUAGAUAUUUUCAUUUUCUCCCGAAAUCGGAAUGGGAAUAGGACUCCCCUCCACCUAACGUCUAGAAUGGGAGUCACUCAUUCCCACUUCUAUUUCUAUUUCAUAGUCUGACUCUCUCCAGCCAAACAUGCCCUUAGUGGUAUUUUUAAAAAAUACUAGAAAAUAAUACAUUGCAUCAUAUUUAUGAUAAAUUAUCGGGUAUUAGCUUAUAACUCCUCUUUAUUAUCGAAUCAGCUACAUUAUUUGAUGACAUUUUUAACACUUUACCCCAUAUUUAUGACUAUUUUUUGGAUAUUAGUUUGUAGCAUAUCUUUAUUUUUCUUAUCGAUAGGCAAUAAAUACCUUUUUUUGUGAAAAGAAAUGCUCUUUAAAGAUGUAAUUAGCUAACAUUAAAUAAAAAUGCUCUCCAAGAGUAAACAUUAGUGCUGGGUACAAUACCAAACCUAAAUAUAGAGAUGUGAGAUCAAUUUAGCUAAAUAUCUUGAUUACUGAUUUGGCAAAUAAAUUAAAAAUUAAAAUUAUUUAAAUAAAAUAUAUAAUAUAAAUGUACUAAUUAAAAAUUUAUAUAUUAAUACCAUGAUUCCUCGUUAAUUCUAGUAUAGGUCAAAAUAUCUAUAUUUUACAGAACUCUUAAGAAAAAAUUAUAUACAAAUAUAGGAAUAUAUUGAAGAUAUUGAUAUUCUUAAAUAUUUUAAACAAAAUAGUUUUGAAAAUAUUAUGAAAUGAUAAAAUGAAGUUAAUUAUUCAUUUUUUAUUAAAAAGAUAAGGAUUGAAUUUUUUUAAUGAAAGGAAAUAAUUAUUAAAAUAUGAAAUAUCAUGAUAUAUUUCAAAUUAGUAUAUUUUAUAAUAUGAAUAAGUUUUUAAGAAUUAUAAUAAACCCUAGCUUUAAAUAUGUAGAUUAUUGUCAUGCGAUUGGGUGGUUCUUACCCAACUAAGGGUUAUUAGCUCAGGAGGUACAUUAAAUGGUCUUUAGAUAUUUUUUUUAUCCAUAUAAUAUUCUACUAGGACUAAAUCUCCAAAUUUCAUAAAUGUGGGGAUAUAGUCCUUGGCACUUCUCUAGCAUUUUAAAAAAAUACGGGCGAUAUAAUGAGCGGUAUUUUUUUCCAUCAUUUUUUAUGUGUUGAGGAUUCUAUGAUUUCUUCUAGUCGGCAUAAACGUUGUUUAAAUCCUCUUAAAUUUGUUUUUACAUCCAGUUGUAGUUAAAUCAACGAACAUCCAAUUGUAGUUAUAUGGAAAGGCUUGUUUGGGCAAAUUAGAAAACGUUUAGGUUGUCAUAUGCUUAAUGCCUUGAGCUUUUCUCUUUCUUCUAUCCAAUUUUUAUUCCUUUCUUUUUCCAAUGAACAGUAACAAUGUGAAGAGAAGGAGCAACUGCUAUUUUUCAAAUCACUAGUUGUGCAACAAGGUGAGAAGGUACAAUGCACAAGGAAAAGAGGACGAUAGGAAGAAUGGCAAGAACAGAUCAACCCCUCCAUGUCGAUAGAGACAUUCAUUUUUCUGAAAUCUAUAUUGAUAGAGACUUCAUUUAAACAAUAAAUCAUGCUACCACCUUUGGAGACACAUUUAUAUACAAUGCAUUGUUUGCAAAUUUAGUGGCUAUAUUUUUUACAAUAUUUAUGCUUGAAUAAAGGAUUUGUGGGCCUGUAUGUUUCUUAGGGCAUGCAAUAUUUAAAUAGUUGUUCUCAUUGUUUUAUUUGCUGGAUGCAAAUACUUUGUCACUUGUCGGAUUAGUUGAUGAACAUUGUGAAUAAUGUAAUGUAAGAUGCCGAUGCCAACCGCUAUCAAAAAUUGACCAGCUACACCCAGCCUUAUUCAAUCUGCUAGCUGAUUCCUUCCAUAAUAAAUGUGGUAGCUCGCAACCAUUGAAAAGAAUCAACAAUUAUUUAAAUGUUUUGAGAGAAAAGGAUUAAAUUCACUACGAGACCUCAUGAGACAUGAGAUAGAUCCAUGAGAUAGCAGUUGCUAAGCUACCCUCGAGCCAUAUUUCCUUUUGCUUUAAAUUUAUUAAGAGCAAUGUAUAUAUUUCAUCCCAAGCAGCUAGUAACUAGGCAUGGUGCACAAAACAAAUUGCAAACCUUCUUAGUUUGGCUAACUAAAUGUGUUCCCUACAAUCUCUAUCAAAGAAAACCCCCAAGUCAAUGGAGACAAAGCUAUCAAAAAAAUUAGUUACUCAAGAUUAAGUGAGGGAGCAUCCAGUGGACAAUAAUUGGGUUUGAAAGGAGGCAGCUCAAAGAGCCAACAAUGCCCUAAUACCUUCUCUUUUUUUUUUUGAUACAACGGCAGCUCACACCUUGCGAGUGUGAAUGCGGCCAACAAAGUCAAAAAAUAAAAGGUUACUCAGACAGUCCGACACCGCCCCAUGGGCCCUCCAAAUAAAGCCAUCAGAAUGCUGAGCCGCAUAAGAGGCAACAUAGUCGGCGGCCCCGUUCUUUGAAGUAAUAGAAGUACUCGAAAUUGCCUUGUAGAUCAUACAUAGAAAAAAGGUUGCGCUAUAUACUACUCCUUGUGCAAUUACAUGUAGAGAGAGAUUUGCAGGGUAAAGAUGAUAAUCAUUCUUAGUUACAACCCUUUUCAAACUCCAUUACAAAAAUACUAAAGAUAAAACUUGAUGGAGAAAAUAUUAGGUAUCUCGACCUCAGACCAGAUCUCCCUCUUUACCUCAAAUGUAAGUCGAAGAGAACUACCUCGGCCACAACUGAGCAGCAGACCAUCCGACGUGAACUCCAUGGCCUCGGUGUUGAGAUUACUGGGCACAAAACUCACUGUAUCCGGCUUACCAAUUAACAAUUGGUCUCAUUCAGGCAUUCCAUCAAACACAUCACAGGCAUGAAAAGAUAAGCAUNNNNNNNNNNNNNNNNNNNNUCCAAAAUAGUCAACACUCGGCCAAAGAGCCGAUCGACCGAGGAGUCAUCGGCUGGGCAGAAUAAUUGGCACAAGUCAAUAAGGAGUGAUAGUCCCAACAACUAAUAGCCUUGGUAGUCUGCAGUCGCUGCGGCAUCACGUCCUGCACCCCACUAGUGUACUCUGCCGCCUACGUGGACUGGCACCCACGCCACGGCCAUACCACCGGCCAUUGUCUGACCAUCAUUGCAUACGAUGUCAGCCCAGGUAACGACAAACUGGCUUUUCUAUAUAAGGAGAGCAAUUCGAGGGACCUCAGGUAUGCAAUAUAUAUGCAACUCUACGCAUAGAGUGACCCUCUGUUGAAACUCUCUCCCUUCCUUACUGUUGCCCCGUUGUUCUGACUUAGACAUCGGAAGGUCCUCACCAUAAACUCUCCGGCAGAAAGACUUCUUGCAUAACACCCAACGGAGGAGACUAGUACCCGACACCUCAAGUAGCAUGCUCAUCUCAUCUUCAGCCGACCACAAGGUCAUCCGAGUUGUACUCCCACCUCUGCCUAAAUUAUGCGACAACAAAUUGGCACUAGAAGGAGGGCCCAUCCCCCAACUACAUAAACAUUAACCAAAGGGGGAAACAACUAGAAUGAAGUCAUGAGGAACCCACGAUGCAUCAUGUGCUUUGCAACGCCACGCUCCGACCUCCCAAGGGUCGUUGCAGAGUGCGGGUCGGCCUCGAAAGUGGGGGGGGGGGGUGGAUGGAGAAGUACCUCAACCUCAAACCAGAUAUCUCCCUUUACCUCGAAUGUAAGCCGAAGAGAACUACCUCAUCUAUAGUCGAGCAGCCGACCAUCCGACAUGAACUCUUUGGCCCUAACCGAAGAGCGAUCGACUGAGGAGUCAUCUACCGGGCAGGAUAAUUGGCAUGGUCGACAAGGGCUAACAGUCCCAACAACUGACAACUCUUAUAGUCCGCAGUAGCGGCGGCAUUAUGUCCUGCACCCCACUAGCGCAUUCUGUCGCCUACGUGGACUAGCACCCAUAUCGCAGUCGUACUAUCGGCUACUGCCUAUCCAUCAUUGCAAGUCACGUCGACUUAGAUAAUGACAAAGUAGCUUCCCUAUAUAAGGAGAGCAAAAGGUCUCUGUCGGAAAUUCUUUGGCAAGUAGACUUUGCAAGCUACCCAGCAGAGAAGACUAGUACCUGACACCUCAACCAACCUGCUUAGCUCAUCUCCAACCGACCAUAGGGUCGUCUGAGCUGCACUCCCACCUCGGCCCAAAUUCCGCCGCAAUAAAACUAAUUAGAUUCAAUUACCUAGCUCGAUGUCGAGGACCACCUCAAAUUCCACAAGCAAAAGAGGAGGAGCCUCGAAAGGAAAAAUGUCUUUAGGAAUAGUUAUUGGUCUUCCAAUCUUCAACCUGUGAGAAGAAAAGGAAUUCAUCAUCAUUUUUAUAUUGUUUUGUAUAGAAAUGAUAAUGAUAUUUUUUGCUUGUUCAUCGAAGAUCUUGAUUUCUUCCUUUCAAGGUUUAAUGAAUCUCCUUUAUUAGAUUUGUAAGUAGCAAAUGAAAAAAAAUAACAAAUGGAGAAAUUCAUUAAACAAAAUGAAGCUAAAUUUAUAAUCUACGUAAAUUAUUCAAAUAAGUAAAAAUAUUUUCACACGCUUGUUUUUCUAUGCAUUAUCUCAUGCUUUUUGAUUGGUUAUUGCCAACUAGCAAAUCCUGGCAAUUAAAGAAAUUUGGCAUUUUCCAUUCCUAAAAUAAAGACUUUCCAUGAUACCCCUAGUAGAAUAGUUCACCAACUCUGUACGUCCUGAAUGUUGGAUAAUCAAAUCAAAUUUAAGAGUGCUCUCGCUUGAUUCAACUUACAUGGCAUCCUAUAAGGCAUCUUAUAUGAUACGGUCAAAAGGUCGACAAGUGAAUAGUCUAAGUAUCAUGGCAAGCAAAGAGUCACAUGAGUUGAGUCAUUUAAUAAAGUGAAUAUUCACGAAUAUCUUUAGAAGUUUUCAUAUAGUCAUGUCUCUUAGAGUUUCUACACGAUGUAUUCUAGGGUCUAUGUAAUGUUAGUAUCAAUGAUAUGCCGGGUCCCCAAGAGGUGUCUUCCAAAGUUCUUUGUAAGUAUUAAUAAUUGUCUCUCUAGGCUGCACCCAUCUUGGGCAGGUGUGAAUUGCCGUUGUACUAAAAAAAAAAUGUCUCUGAGAUGUUCUAGUAUGUUUAUGUAAGGGGUAUAUCAAGAGUCAUCAUAUAACUAUACAAAACCAUGUAAUGGGAUAUCUUGUAACGAAGUAAUCGAGCAGGAAAAAGUGAUAGAAUGAAACAAUAUUAGAGUGUUAUGCUCCAUCCACCCUCUCAUACUCUCUACCACCAUAUCAAUUAAAAUUAUAGUUGAACUUGAUGCUUCCGCUGCCCCCAAUAUAAUGGUAUUAGAGCUCAAGUUUACAAGCCCGCUACACAUUUGUAUUAGAGCUCAAGUUUAUGAGCCCACUACACAUUUAGGGCUCGUUUGGUUCGCGGGACAAGAAGGGGGAAAAUUAUGGUCAACAGAACAGUAAUGAGAUGUCUCUUGUUUGGUUGGAGUUUUCAAAGGAAAGAGAAGGAAAAGUUGUAUUCCCAUUGGAAUAUGAUUCCCAUAUUUCAUGGAAAAGUCUUUUCCAUGAGAAACAUGGGAAAAUUACUUUCCCAUGAGGCGGGAAUCACUCAUUUUUUUUAUUUUUUCCAAAAAUACCCUUCAGCAUUAAAGAAGCAUUAAAGAGGCAUUAAAAACCUAAUUUUUAUUAGGGGCAUAAUAGGAAUUAUACAUAACUUUCCCAAGAAAGUGGAUAGUCAACCAAACAUAAGCACUUUAGAAAUUUGUCACUUUCCCAUGGUCUACCAAACAUGCCAAAAGUAAUUUCCUAAGUAUACUCUUCCUACGAACCUGAUUCCCAAAAAUCAUAUUUCUAAAAGGAAAAAUGCUUCCCGCGAACCAAACAAUCCCUUAAAGCUAACAAGGUGGUAAAAGAGAAAGAUAAACAACAAUAAAUGAUUGUUCGAGAGCAAGGAAGCUCCGAGUGUCAUUGUUGUGGCAAAAAAGAAAAGAGAAGCUAAAAGUAGCUCCAAUAAGACACACUUUAUCCAUUAGGAGAGGAGGGAAAAAACUAGAAGAUGGAGUUGACUUGCGCCCAAGAGAAAUUAUACAUUCAAACCGCAAACUUCGGAGUGUUCAAACAAGUUUCUAGUACAAGUUUGUGAGGUAUGAGAUGUCACUGAGAAGCCCGAAGGCUGCAUAUCAAAGAAACUGCAAGAAAGAAAGGAAGAAUUUGCAAAAAGGUGUGCAUCAAGAAGUUUGGUAGCAUGCCAAAGAUCAAAAGUCUCCAAGUCAGGUAUGGGAGAAGCUUAAAUUGACAUGCUUUUGUGACAAAGAAUCAAGCGUUACCAAUAGAUUAUUGGUUAGUAGAUUUUGAGGUAAUUAAUUUUUGAAAGAACUGGAUGAACAAUUAGUUGAAAAGGAUGUGGAAGAAGAAGAGGAGAGUGAAGUUGGGUAAGAAAAAAAAAGAUUAGGAGAGAAAAUGUAAAGAUGGAAGAAGUUGAAAUUAGUGAGAAGGAUGGAAAAGAAUAUGUUGAAGAGAUUGAACAAGAAUACAAGGUUGGAAAUGUAUAAAAUGCUAAACUUGAAAAAUGAUCAGGAGAAAAGAAUGUGGUGAAAAAGAAGACAGUAAAGAAAAGUGUAAAAGAAGAUGAGAAAAUAGAAGAGAAGAUUGCAAAUUAGAGGAAUUUGAAUACAUCACAAAACAGAAUAUUGAGAAGUUAGAGAAUUGAAAUUGCACAAGAAUAUAGAAAUUCAAGAAAAAAAUCAUUUUUCAUAUGCAACCAAUAUAACAUAGAAAAAUAUAAAGUCCUAUAAUAUAUAUUGGAAGUUUUUUUCAAUCAAGUGGAACAAGUAAAAUUCCAAGGUAAAAAAAACUUCGAGUGAUGAUUUGCAUAUACAAAUAAGUUAGAGCAUAUUCAAGUGAUGAUACUAUGGGUGCAAGCAAAAGAACUUCACAAGCCCUUCACAUUCGUGGAGAUGGACAUGAAAUUUGUUUCUUUUAGUGAUGCAUGCAAUAGAUUUCAUGAAAAUGGAGGAGCAACAUUUUUACCAUGCCCUCUAGUUUAGAGUGUUAAGAAAUACCCUAAAUUUGUUGUGUUUUUUUUUGGGUACCACUUGACUCAACCUAUAUGGAAUCCUACAAGGCAUUCUAUGUGGAAUGAUCAAAGAGUCAACAGGUUAAUAGUUAAGUUUUUUAAUUAAUUAAAUAUUCAUGAAUAUUGUUUGGAGUUUUCAUGUAGUCAUGUCUUUUAGAGUUUCUACAUAGUAUCUCCUAAAGUUUGUAUGAUGCUAGUAUUCGUGAUAUGUCUUUAGUGUUUCCAAGAGAUGUCCUUGAAAGUACCAUGUAAGUAUCAAUAAAUUGUCCCUUAUAGUUUUUAAUACAUUUACAUGAAGGCAUAGUAUCAAUAAAUUGUCCCUUAUAGUCCAAGAGAUCUCCAUAUCUUCUCUCAUUUACACUUCUACUCCCCUCUCUUAUCAUCUAGGCAUAGUAUCUGGAGUUUGAUAAAACUAUUAUGCUUCUUUGAGAAGAAUAAAUAAAUAACAGAUCAAUGAGAGAACUAAUCAUAGUAACAAACUCUAUGUAGGCUCUUGUUAUUUUACUUCUCUCCAGUCACUCUCAAUGUUUGCCAUUAUUGUUCUAUGCUUCUUUCAUAUUCAGGUUCCCAUUUGAACGGCGAUGUAUUACCAUUUUUUAAAGAGAAGUUAACAAAGUUUUUUUGGAUUUCUUUUCUAAAUUUGAAGUUGUUUUCAUGAAUUACUUAUAUCAUCAGGGAUAUUUAUUUAAAAUUGAUGAGGCUGGAGAUAAACUGCCAUUGGAUGAAAAAGAAUCAAGGUAUAUUCGGUCUUACAACUUUAUGUAAUUUAAGCCAGAGGGAAGAUGAGAAGGGGCUAAUGUCUCGGGGAAUGAAAGAUAUCACCCAAGGUAGGGGUUUGUGUGACAUAAAUGGAGAGAAUCAGGGUUAGUGGCGGAAGGGGAGGGAUAGGGAUGGAGAUAGUGUUGGCAGUCUUUUCUUUCUGCCAAAAAAUGAACGCGCCAAAAAAAUUGUGACAAUGGGCAUGCCACCGGAUUGAAUUAGUUAGAAAUAGGAUGAUCAAAAAAGAUGAUGAAAGUAGAGUGGGUCUUCGUUAUUGUCGCACAGCUCGUUUGAAAGAAGAUGGAUGAGGUAGGAUAAAAUAUAGCCGGAGCCAUGAUUGAAGUGAUCUACUACUGCUACACUACUUCUGAAGAUAGAUUUAGAGUCUUAUUGGUAAACUACGAGCGAGAAAUAAAAAUAAAGUAAAGACAAUUAAAGAUAAGCUGGAUUUAUUCAUGUGUUGCGAGGUCCUCUCUCAAUAUAUGAAAACUUACUCAUCUUGGAUGCUGGUCUUUACUAUUGUAUGGCGCAAAGCCUACUAUUUUCGUACAUAUUAGGUAUUGCUAUCCCUCCUCUCCCAUCAUGGGUGAUGGAAAGAUAAAUGUAGCUACCCCACUCCUCCCACGUCAUGGGUCCUGGCCUUUAUAUCAUAAUCGUUCUAGAUAUAAUGCAAACAGACAAGGAGAGGAAUAUUAGCAUAUGAGAAGGGAGGAUUGGUUGUAACUGGCAUUUUUUAAACAAAAACUUUUUUUUACCAGAAAAGCUAAAUACUCUCAUUUGACGAGGCAUAGAAAAGCCAGACACGCCUUACUAGCUUUUCUCAAAUUUUACUUAUAGUAGGAUUUAGUUAAAAAAAAUAUAAAAAGAGUUUUAUUUCCAAAGAAAUAUCCUUUUACAAAGACAGUUAUAUACCUUGUAGUAUAUCCAUAUACUCUAACCUAUCAUCGCCUUCCUUUUAUAGUUCACCUAAAAAACAACAAUAUCUUGUUUGUUCCUUUGUCUCUUCGACAUCUUUCUUAGACCCCUGUUUCAAAAUUUUUCCUAAACUCUAAUGUUCAAUAUAAGUAUGAAGAAUUAAAUCAACUAAUAUAUGGGCAUUCUAUAAUUCUUUGUAAUUUGAUAAGUAGACAAAAGGGAAAUACCUUGGUUGCAUUUAGAGUUUUUAAAUUUUGUUCGUACAUUUAAUUUUUAUUUGUUAUUGACCAUCUUAGGUCGAUCAGGGAGUUUAGAUGAAUCUGCAAAUUCUUUUACAUGAAAUUAAGAUACUUAAAAUCUAUCAAAUGCUUACAAUGAAAAAAUAAUAUUGAUAGCAAAGAGAAGAAUCAGAUCAAAGAAAUAAGAAGUGCUCACUUUCUUUCCCUCUUAAAUUAUGCACCUCUAAUAUCUUUGAUUACAAAAAAGUUAUUAAGAAUAUAAAUAUAGGAUGAUUGAGAACAAUCAAAAUAAAGUCUAAAUCCGAUUCCGAUAGGACUCUUGCCCUAAAAAAAAAGCUAAAAUUAGAUUCUAACCCUGAGAUAAAAAGCUUAGAGAGUCUUAUCUGGUAAGUCUCCCAUUCUCACUGUUAAUUGGUGAAUUUAUUCAAGUAGUUUCUCAGAAAUUAGUGCACCCAAGCGUAGUCCCUACCACUUGCGGACUUAUUCCUGCUUUUCUCCAAACUUAUCACACGCGGACAGUGGUCGGCCAAGAGGAGCUCAGGCUCAGGCACCUUCUCCCUCUUUCUUUUUGACCAUUUUAUUUCUCCAAAACAUAAAAUAUAGGAUUGAAAAAAAGUAAAUUAAAAUAAAAACAAAAUAUAGGAAUCAGCAUAGUAAUAUUAUUAAUGGCAUUGAAUUUUAAAAUUUAUUAGGAGACAAAACCUUGUUCCACCGUCGUCUUUGUAUAUUAUAUUAAAGAAUAAACAAUUCUUACGUUAAAGAAUAAACAAUUUCCUGGUUAUAGUUAUUGUUAGCAGCAUUAAUCAUCUCCGUCAUCUUCUUCCUUUAAAGUCUAAUCUUCCCUUAACCCCCAUUUCCGCUCCCCUCAGCAACCACCACCGCCACGGAAUUGGGUGGGAUACAGAGAAUAACUAUCCCUAUCCCUGGAAUUGCAAUCCUCCUCGUUCCAAACUGGGCCUGGUAUGGACCGGCUGGUGAGCGUGGACGCCAAGGAGCUGGAGAUCGAAUUCCGGCCGUCGCAGCGGUGCUCCUCCGCCGCGUUCCGCGUGACCAACCUCAUGCACACCAUGGCCGUCGCUGUCCACCUCUCCACCACCCGCCCCACUGCCUUCUCCGUCCACCCCGCCGCCGUCGCCGUCCUCCCACCGCUCUCCUCCACCACCUUCUCCCUCCUCCUCCUCCCAUCCCCCAGUCCCCCGCUCGCCUCCCCGCCCGACUCCCUCCUCGUCCGCUCCGUCCUCCUCCUCACCGGCAAGCCCGAUAGCCCUGCCGCCCUCCUCCGCCUCUUCUCCCGCGCCCCCGCCGCCGCCACCGUCUUCCGCGACGCCGUCCUCCCCGUCGCCCUCGUCGGCCCUCACGUCCUCCGCUCCCUCCUCCAAUCCCGCGGCUCCCUCGAGGCCGCCUUCCUCCUCUCCCGCGCCGCCUCCGCCUGCUCCCCCGCCCUCCGUCACCGCCCUCCUCCUCCCCGCCGCCGCCGCCGGCGACCAUCGCCUAGUCUCCGCCCUUCUCGCCGCCGGCGCCGACCCCGCCGUCCGCGGGGACGACCGCCGCUCCGCCCUCGCCCUCGCCAUCGCCUCCGGCAGCUCCAACGCCGUCGCCGCCCUCCUCGACGCCGGCGCUCGGGUCGACCCCGCCGCCCCCGAUCUCCCUUUCCACGCCGCCGCCGCCUCCGGCCGCGCGGACCUCAUCUCCCUCCUCGCCGGAUCCUGCACCGACCCGGCCUGGGCCAGCGCCACCGGACCCGACGGCCGGACGCCCGUUCACGCCGCGGCGGCGGCCGGGCACUUAGACGCCGUCCGCCUCUGCGUCGCCUCCGGCGGCGGCGAUCCCGACCGGGCCGACUCCCGCGGGUGGACCCCACUCCACUGCGCCUCUGCCGGCGGGUACCUGGAUGUCGCCAUGUUCCUGAUCGGCCAGUCCGCCUACGACGCUCGGCUCGUGCGGACGAGAGACGGGCGGAAGACACCGUUCGACCUAGCCAUCGACGGUGGCCACGCGGGGCUCUACGACGCGCUCGGGCUGGGCGACGCGCUCCACCGGGCAGCGCGCGGCGGCGACGUCGCCAGCGUGAGGAGCUGCCUGGCGCGGGAGGCAGCGGUGGACGGGAGGGACCAAAACGGGUGGACGGCGCUCCACCGGGCGGCGUUCAAGGGGCGGAUCGAGGUGGCGAGGGCGCUGAUCGACGGCGGAGCGCAGCUGGAUGCGGUGGACCACGAGGGGUACACGCCGCUACGGUGUGCCGUGGAGGCGGGGCACGCGGAGGUGGCGCUGUGCCUGGUGGCGCACGGGGCGCGCGCCGGUUUGAAGGGAUUCAAAGGCUUGGAUCUCCUACUGAACAAUUUGUCAUUGGACAAAAAUAUUCGUGCUGUCGACAGGUCUUCUUUGGCUUAUGCACUUUCUCCCUGUGAUAAGAAUAGUGUGAUUGAAGCCCCAACAUUACUCAUAUAAGAGCUGUAUGGGCGGCCGUUGCACCAAAAAAAAAAAUAAAGAAAGCUUGGACAUGGGGUGGAUGUUGUGUGAUGUUUGUAAAUAGUUUUGUGCUGCAAAUUUGCAACUUGUUUUGGGGGCAUCGAAUCGAUUUAUUAGGGUAGUUUGUAUCUAUGAGAAUAUAAAGUUUGAAAUCAGAUCCUGCAUGAUGUAAUUGAGUGAAGUUUACUAUUUGGAAGGUAAAUUACUCUUCUUCUUGAACUGAAGUUCUCAGGCAUUGUUCCAAGAGGAGAAGGUUUGGGAUGUAUCCCACCAUUAGCUUCUUGUUUUGGUGCUGCUUUCUGAACUAGCCAAGAACUGCAUGAGACCGUUCAUAUUUUUUAGCUCCAGUGUGUUGCUGUGAUAACGAGAUAUGGGGUUUGAUAGCUUAAAUCAAAAUGAACAAGAUAUUUGUUUCAAAGUUUGUUGCCUGUCGUACUGCUGUCUCAAAAUGUUUCUUCUUAAAUUCUACUGUUAGAUUUUUCAUGAAUGAACUCAUCUCUAUACUGUUUGUUCCAACAUUACCAGGCAUCCAUGGUUGCAUCUUUUUCUCUUAACAAGCCAGCAUAAGUUGAGGCUAUCCAGCAUCAAUAACUUCAGUGGAGUAGUAUCAGACAGCCCAGCUAAAAGCUUCCGAAGAAGGAUAACAAAAUUGGUAGUACCAAACUAUGCACAGAAGUUCAAGUAGCGCAUCAAAUCACAAGUCCUAAAAAUACAUAGCAUGUGCAUCUGAUUUUGUGCUUGCCACUUGCUACAUUCUGAGCCUACUAAUUCCAAUUUCUUCUAAUUUCAAAUAUCCAACUGAGUUAUAAAUAUGUGAAGUAAAUAGAAAUCAAAACCAGACCAAUGAACUGAUCACCAACUCACUCAUUAAUCUACCAAGUAUAUAAAAGAUUACUACUUGUACAAAAUACAGCUGUGUUGGAUAGUGAGAUCAAUAUCAAGAAACAGAAUGGAGAGAUCAAAAGAUUCGAUCGCAUGACUUGAUCUGCUCAGGAUAUUUGUAUGCUGUGACUUGGAACAAGAGAUUACCAACCAUCAGAAUUCAAGAUCACACAUUUUAAUUAGGAAGAAUUGAAAUCACAUAUAGAAUGUGAUACAUCAAAUUUAUGUUAAGUUGAACCUGCAGCUCAGUCAACACUCCCUCUGAUGUACAUGAACAAAAAUCAUAUGGGACAGGCACCAGAGAAGAAAAUAUAAAGCAUGCAUCUUAUUUUUUUCAUAUUUCUCCUAGUGCCCCUAUUAAAGCAAAAACCUAAAAGUCAAAAACUUCUCCUACCAACAGGGUCGUCGGUCCCAUAAUUCUAAAAAAAAAUAGAAGAAAAGAGAAUCACAUGCAGUAUUUUCUUCUUCCUCGUCGAGCCUCUCCAUCUAUCCUCUUUCUUGUCAAGUUGCCUUUCCUAACCAUGAGGUUUUCUUUCUUCCUUUCGAGUUCUUUUCUUCUCCUCCAAAUUCCUCUGUUUUUUCUAUGAUCUUAAACUUAAGAGUUCAUAGAAUCUAAGAAAUAGUAUAUAUAUAUAAUUUUUUUAUGAUAGACAAAACUAGAAAACUAUGCAUGUGUGCUGAUAUUGGUUAAUAUCAUGUUUUAAAAAUUAUAUAUUGAUUUACCUACAGGUACAUAUUGGCUUAUUAGAUGACUUAAUUUGCCAAAUGUGUAUCACCUACCUAUAUAAUGUGUACCGGUAAAAAAACGUAUUUUAGAAACUGUAUAUCAAUUUACCUAAAAGUGUAUAUUGAAUCACUGUUGGGUAUAUAUCAAAGAAGAUUAUAGUCUGUAAUAAAAAGUCGAUGAGUGUGUAUCCUCUAGCUAUGCAGUAUGUACAGAUGACAUGAUGUUCUAGAAACUGUAACAAUUUGCUUGGAAGUGUGUGAUGGGUUAUUAGAUUACUAGUUUUCUAAGUGUAUCAUCUAAGCAUAUACUAUGUACUAUUGAACACCAUAUUCUGAAAACUAUAUAUUAAUUUACCUAGAGGUGUGUAUUGAGUUGCUAGAUGGCUAAUUUGUUUGAUAUGUCUCAUCUAGUCAUGUUAGUGUCUACUGGUAAAAAGCAUAUUCUGAUAAUGAAGAAGAAAGAGAAUGCCGCAUGCAAUUUUCUUUCUUUUUUUUGGAAAUGUGGCAAAAUAGGAAACAUGCCCUAUAUUUUCUUCUCUCUCUGGUGCCCGUCUCAUAUGAUUUUUGUUCGAUGUACAUGCAGAAUCAGGAUAAGUUGGUGCACGGGAUUGCAUGUCAAACAGGUUAAAUUAUCAUACAUUCUCCCCAUAGAACUUGAAAAAUAAUGCAUAGAAAAGCGCAACAGAAACAUAGUAAUCAGUAAGCAUCCCAGAUCAAUCUAUGUGCUCGCAUCCUCAUAUCCCAGAGAUUGGGGUCUAGUUCUCGGUCAGUUUCAGCAACCAAACCAUAACCAACCUCCUCAUGCCGAUAAAAUGGUCUUGCAGGAGAUGGAGGGAGAGGUCUUAACACUCUUCAAAGUUGUUCCUCGCUUUUGGCUGUUGGUGACCAUAGCAGAUUUGAAGGAAGAGUAAAUUGGACAAAUCCUUCGUAUAGCGCAAAAUACGAAUACAUGGCUCAUAGAGGAAUAAGAACACUUUGUCCAAUAAAUGUUUCAGAUCCAGCUAAGUAUCCUACUGCAUUUGGAGGAUAUCUCAAUGCUCCAAGAAGUAGUCCUACCUGCGUAGUGUUAGUCAUGUAAAUGAGCCUCGUUGUGUACGUUAUAUCCCAGAAACUGAUAGUUACAGUUAAAAAUACAAUGCAACAGUGAACCACCAGAGUCUAUUAAGAAAUGAGCAACUCGGCGAGGAGAUUCAAGACAGGUUAUAGUAAGAAGCAACAGCAUUUUAUAAAGAUUGAUUAGCAUUUCAUCUUCACCAAGUUAAUCACAACUCAGCAACUAGAAAUCUACUAUUCUAUGAUUUAGUAAAAGAAAAAUCUGUAAAUCCUUGCUUUUUCCCCUCCUUGACUAGAAUCUUAUAAACCUAGGAGAAUCUUGAAGAUUUGAUUCCUCCUUCGUGCUAAAUCCUGAGGAUUUGACAUAAGAAACACCAUUCUUAACAGCAUACUUGUCACAACCCAGGACUGAACCCAAAAAGGCUAGCUGGAAGAUAUUAUUUAAAUUUCUUAAUCCAUCAAAGAUUCAAAUUCAAUCAAAUUCAAUCACAUGUACCAUAAAUCAAGUCUAAACCUGUGUUGCAGUGUCUCCUAAUCCACAUGGGCCAUGAGCCAGAUUCACUAUAAUAUCAUUUAUUAUAAUUCAGGACUUCAUCCAAAAAAACUAGUCGAAAGGUAUUGUUUAAAUUUCUCGGUCCUAUAUAAGUACUUAAAAUCUACCUAAUGCAUAGCCGAUGUAGGAUCACAAUAAUGAUUAAUGUCAAUUCAAGAAUCUAACAACUAUAAGAUCAAAUAUAAAUUCAUUAUUUCAAUGAUACCGACAUCAUCGAAAGAAGCAUCAUAUGUUCCUUGAAUAUCUAAUAAGAAAUCCAAACAAAUAUCAAAUAAUGGCCAACUAUGGAAGGAGUUUUAAACAAAGGUCACCAAGUCCAUGUCGUUUAUGGACUUGUUUGUAUAUCAUGCGAUCCAAAGAGGUAUUACUAUAAGACGGCUGCACAGGGUGACGCUUGAGUUCUUGGAUGAGUCAAUGGUGGUUAGGUGUGUCUGAGGGAAUGAGUGAAAAUAUUUGUUGACCAAGGGAUAAGAAAUCUAUGAAAUUGAAGAAUCAGAGUGAUGGAGCGUCUACACCAUCUAUUCAGUAUGAACACUUGCACGCCCAUAAUUUUCUGUGCUCUUUUCUCUUACAAAAAUAAAUUAGUGAUUGAUAAUUAGGUCGCUAGUGUACCAAAUCAAUCAGAUCAAUUAGAAAAAUUAGGUCGACCAGGAGACGGGAUUCGGUUUGCCUUAGUAUAAGGAUUUAAAAUUUCUCAUUAGAACAAGAAUAUUACUAAAAAAAAAGUAAUAACUCAUGGAUAGAGAAAUCAAUGGUUGCAAUGCUGGAGAAUAAAGACACAAGAAGUUCACGAAAAUUCUCCUAAGGAAAUCAUGGCGGUUGUAGGUAAUAUUUGGUAAGGAAGUAGUGCAGAGAGAGCAAUGUUUGUGGAUCCAGUCUUCCAUUUUGAACUUGAAAAUUCGUACGAAACAAACUUUGAGGAACUAAUUUUGAACCAUCCUAUGUCCUCUCAUCUUUAUUUAGGAACUAUUUCUCGGAUUCUCACUUGCUGAUCACAUCUCCAAUAAUUUCAUGGCGACAACAUGUCCAACAACUUUCCUGCUUGAUGUAAUGCUUGAUAGCUUCUACCUAAUCACUGUGACAUAGCUACUACAUGCCACCCAAUGGAUAAUUUUUAGAACAGACGAAUGACCCUUUUUACGGGAAAUUAUUUUAAACUCCUGAAAAGUUGCUAUUUUCCUUAAGAUUUACGUAGCUUAAAGAGGUGACAAAAAUGCAUCCAGCCACCUUAGCUUGAUUCUUUUUGGCAUGGGUUUAGAUCAUGAGAUUUCAAUUUGGAAAGGUAUGGAUCUCUCUCUCUCUCUCUCUCUCUCUCUCUCUCUCUCUUUUCGUUUUUGCUUCUUUUUUUUCUUUUUUUUUGUUAAAAAAAUUACUCCUGGGCAUAUACAAGCUGAUUAUAGGUUAGAGCCUCCACCAACCUCAGAUUAUGAGGGUAGGGUUUCUUUUAUGGGGAGUCAGGUCAUGGCAUGUCAUCAACUUAGACAACUGNNNNNNNNNNGGGGCUUCAAUUUUCUAAAGUCAGCUAAGUAGGGUGGUCCAGCUGCUCUUUUCCAAAUAUUCGUAGGUCGACGUUUACAAGUUAGCUGUCAAACAGAAUUCAUCAAAAUUUAUCAACCCAUGAAUGCUAAAGAGUUCAACAUCCAGCUUGCUCCUGAGUUUAAUAUUAUUCUUACUUUUUAUUACUUCGCCCCCGCCCCCUUUUUUUUUCAAGAACCAAGUCUUCUUCUUCUUUCUAUUACAUUUUCCUUCUUUGAGAGAGAAGUCUCUUGUAUUAAUUACAAGAGGUUUUAACAUUCACUUGACCUCCAUUCUCUGUUCACAGCCCACCUUGUGCAAGAUCCAUUUUUUUUACAUAUUUUACACACUGAACAACAAAAUCUUUUGUGAAAAUUGGAAGCCUCUCUGCAAUUUUCUUAUGCGACAAGGUCCCGACCAACUGUCGAUCGGCACGUAUUUAGGUCUUUAUACAUAAAUUAGAACUUAUCAUAUGUAUACAUCUGCAGCCAAAUACUUAAAAUUCUGAUAUGGAACGAAAUCAACGGUUGUUGGUAACAUAUUGACCUAACUAUCACCACGAGCACCAUAUCCCUAAAUUUGCAGUUAAUUAACUUGCGAUGCCACUUUACCCCCUCACCCUUGCCUAAUUGUCCAGCACUUAGGGUUAUAGUGAAUGCAGGAUGAUAUGAACACCUCUGUAAACAGCACACUAAGUCCUGCUUGACGCAUAGGUCAGUCAAAAACAGGGUAAUUGCAUAUUAUGCGAAUCAGUACACUGGCCGACAAUUGAAGGAUCUAUAGUGCUAUAAUUGAUUCAUUGAAAAGAGUGGGAAUGGAAUGGGAAUUUUAGCAUUCAUUGUUUGGUAUGGCAAUAAAUUUAGGAAACAAAUUUUGCAUUAAAAUAGCCAUCACUUUAAUUGAAGAAACGAUGAUUCCACUUUUAAAUAAAAAAUAGCCAUUCAUAUCAAAAUGAAAAUGAAUAUAUAUUUUUAAAUUAAAAUAAUUAGGAAGAAUUUUUAAAAAUAGUAUAGUUUAUUAAAUUGUAUUGGACAAAAAAAAAAAGAAGUAUAUUAAAAUACAUUAAAAUACUAGAGAAUAUAAAAUACAAAUAUAGAAAAAUGUAUUAAUUAACAAGCAAAAAUAUGAAUAAAAAUAAAAAUUAAAAAUAUAACAAAAACAUAAAUAAAGAAAAUUAAAAUAUGAAAUCCAAAUAAAAUGAAAAAAAAAACUAACACAUAAAACAGAAAACUAAAAAUAAAGUAUAUAAACUAUAGAGCAUAGUCAGUAAAAAAAUACAGAAAGAUACAGUAGAAAUAAAAAAUAAUAAUAAUAAAUAACGAAAAAAUCUCAAAAUAUAGACAAAAUAAUCUAAAAUUGACUACAUUCGAGUGUGUAACUACAUAAAUUAAAUUAAACACUGAAGUAAAUUGAUAUUCCUUUUCCAUGCAUUUUUUUGAUUCACACACAAACAAUAGAACAAGAACUAUGAAUUCUAUUCCUCGCCUUUCAUUCCCAUUCCAUUCCGAUCCUUUUUCAGCUGUACAAACGAUAUGCAGCAUAAAUAUUCUUAAACAGGCAGCUACAUGGAAAAUGAGUAGGCGGUUCCACAUUCUUCAAAUAGAAAUAUGAUGAGAUGCAAGCCCAAGUAUUUUCAACCAGAAAGCAUAAAACAAGAUCUUUCCAAGGGAGUGCUUUACACUGAAAGAAAAACCAUUUGGUGACCACCACUGUCAAUGAUGGUGCAUGGACAUGAAGUGAGAUUGCAUUUGUUUCAACUUUCAAGCAAACAUCCCCUGAUCACCAAAAAAGGCUAGAAUUUAUUCCAAAAAUAUCACGGAAUCCUUCAAGCGCAAAUGAGCAAAUGCACAUGAUAGCCUGGUAAUUUACAAUCAACACAGGAUUUGAGUGAACUGGCAGUGAUUAAGGAACGUGCCUGCCUACUAUUUUCUGUUGCAUGGGACCACCAAACAAACACCUCCUGAAAACUACAAAUUCCCUAACCUUGUGAGGGUGAAAAAGGACGAUACAUGCUGCAAAACACAUAACAACACUAACCAUUAAAAUUACACCAAGACGUCUCCUCAUCAUGUUAGUGGGGAAAAUGUCACCCCAAGAUUGACGAAGCCAUUUGGAACCCUGGUGUGGGUAACAGUGUCGCCUGUGAAUAAUCUUGUUCGAUACAAGUGGAACAUUUUCAUCAUCCUCUUGAGUUGCUGAACUUGUGGCUGAGCACGGACCAUCUUCAUUCCUCGCUCCUUCGUCCUGUUAUAGAUUUGUCAUGAAUUAGUUACUUCAGUGUAAAGCUAAUAGUUCUAAGCAACAGCAGUAACACUUACCAUCUUAAUACAACAUUUAGAGAUUUAUAUGUCUUGAUAUAUCAAAAUAUUAUUCUGUGUAUGAAAAUAAUCAAAUUGCAUCACAACCUCUUCAAUUUUUACUGAUACUGCCAACAAUCCAAAUUUUACAAUAACCAUUCUUGUCCAUGGAGCACAAAAUGGAGUUGGGAAUAUAUGAAUUGGAGAAGGCCCCAUAGUUGAAAGCAAGAAAAAUUAAUUUUAUAGCUUGUCAAAGCACCAGAAAGCAUCGAGCUUAUAUUAAGAAAGUACUAGAAAUAUGCUGGUGAGCCUUAAGGUUUUAUUCAAUUGUUAAGGAAGCAAGAUAAAAAUAUUGUUAAGGUGUUUGGCAAUAAAAUGACUAAAAAAUAGAGAGGAAAUCCUAUAGAACAUAAAGGGGCAAAAUUUUCUUGAAGGGACCUAAUCUAUUUCAAGUAUCAAACCUCGACCAAGAUUGCAUGUGGUAAUAUCAUAUCACAUUUUGUACCAAUAAAAGAUGACAUGGUUAGCAUGCCCCUGGUACAGCCUAAUUUGGCCUUCAAAAUCCUUUUUUGUUUUGGUUUGCAAGAAAUGUGAUAAGAAAUAUAGAUUUAAGUGCCCUCAUCAUCCUAUUCAGUGUGAUGAAGUUUUUAAAGUGGCAAAAGAAAUCAACAACAAUCAUAUUUUAAAAUAAGAUCCGCCAAUAGGCCAUAAAAAUAUAAUUAUUAUAAAACAAUUUUAUUUGAUCUGUUUGUAUCAAGUAAAAAAAAUAUAUAUAUAUAUCAAUAAAUUCUAAAUUGUUAGUGGACAUAAUUUAAACUAAUAUCUAUAAGAUAACAGAUGACAUUCCACAAAAGCAUUACCUCUUCAUCUUUAUACUAUAGUUUACCUAUAUAUAAAUUGCUUGACAAUAAUAAAUAACAAAAUCUCAUGGAUUUAAGUAAAACAUUUUUUAUUUAUUUAAAAGACUAUGUCUAUUAGUGUUAUGAAAUUAUGUUGGUACUAAAAAAAUAUCAUUUAAGUUUUUUACACCGUUUAAUUUCUUAAUAAUUAUCAAGACAAAUUCUCCACAUUAUAUUGUCUGUAACCUAAUUUUUCAGUCCUAACCCCUUCUCAGAUGAUCAUAUUGCUUUGAUUAAGAAAAUGAUUUUGGAGCUAAUUUUGACAGUUUGGUUAACAAUAUCCUGUCAUUUAAAUAAUUACUGAAAAUUAAACUAGUCUUAAAAGAAAUUAAGCAUUUCUAUUCAAAUUUAGCCAUCUAAUCGUCAUUUUUUUUGUUGUUGUGGAUGUAGAGUUGAGUGGACUGAAACAUGAGGCAUGGAAUAGGUUUCAUGAAAGCAUAACUGUCAUUUUCAUAAAAAUCAUUGCACAAUAAGAAAAGGUGCAGUUUUAAGCAUUAAGAGUAGUUGUAGCAAGACAAAUCGUUUUAUUACUUUUUUCUAAAAUUUUUAUUUAUUUCUCAUUUUUAACCAUUUGUAUAUUUAAAAAAUAUGAACAGCAUUUGCGACUGCAUAUGCACCUGCAUCUGCGCUAUGCAGUGAUUUGAUUGCCUGCAUACCGCUUCCACUUUUUAAAACACUGGACUCAAAACCAGCUUGGAUUGCUUACUAAUUAAGCAAGCCAAAAUUCGAGCCAAAUUUUGAGCUGAACACAAGCUGCUCACUAACAGAUCGUUUCUUAGAUAGCCCUGGAGAAAGCAUAAAGAUCAAACGAUUUGAUAAGGGGAAACAGUUGGUCCUGCGGUAAAGAAUCAGGAGAGAAAGGGGUAUCACAAUAAAAAGCUAAAUGGGAGAAAAGAGGAAGGAUUUCAUAAUAAUACAUGACACAUUUGUGCAUAAUAGGAUUAAUAGAGAAUGAAUAAAUGAGUACAUCAUAAAAAUAGUAUGGAUAAUGCUUACUGGGAAUGGCUACGUCUUGGUUGGUAAAAAACGCUUAACACAAACACAAAUUGGAGACACAUGGACAUCUUUACGGCGACUAGAGAUAUGAUUAGAGAAAACAGCAUCAAUAAUUUACUAGUUUACCAGUGCAAAUCAGAGAGGUACCACUAAUCCUGGAUAGAUAUUUAGAGCAACAAAUCUCUGGUGCUUUUAACUAUAUAUAGUAUUUAAUGUUAAUGAUCAUGACAAGUAUUUCAAAAGAUAUACAUGUGCAUUUUAUUUAACAACUAACAACUUCUCCAAUUAUGUAUGAUACCUAAGAGUAGAAAGAGUGAUGUCAGAAAACAUUUCAAAUAAUUAUUUUGAUCAGAAUACUCAGACUAUGAUAACAAAGAAUCAUAGUUCACAAGUAUAAUAGAACUGGGGGAAAGGGGGAAAAACCUUACUUGAUUUGUGCAAGGCAUGGCAGAGACCACACCACUCUUCAAAUAUCUUUGCAGCACAUCAUUUCCAUCAAUUGAGUUUUUUGAAUCUAGUUCCGGCUCCACAUCAUGUAAAGUUAUCUGACAAAGAAUUUCUUUAGCAUGGUUCACAUACUCAUGUAAUAGCCUCAUAUCAGCAUCAGAAUACCAAUUUUCUGACUUAUCAAAACCCUUCCCAUCGACUAUAUUAUCCCAAUAAUGCAGUACAACCUCGAUGAUACUAACAAAUCUGUUUUGUAUCAGAAAUUUUAGUAAAGAAGUUAAUCUCUGAAUAUUUUCCGAACUAAAGAGAGAUUCCCUUUCAUCGAUGUGAGGCUCCUUCAGUAACCAUGCAAUGUCCAAAAGCAGUUCUGAGAUUGCAUUUUGUCUUGACACAAAAAACUCACAAAAGGCUGGACUAGCACCACUAACUGCAUUUUGCGACAUGAUGCUAUCUGCACAAUAGGGUUCACCUAAUGCAUCCUGAAUCCUCUUCAUUUCAGAGCAUACAUUAUUGUUACCAACGAGGAUAGGGACAAAGUUGGAUAUUCCAGAUACAUUCUCAACCUACAAAAGAAAAACUGGAUUAAUUGUACUGCAGAAUAUUCUCAAUUGAAAUAAUAAAAUAAUGAUCAGCUUUUUAGGAAAUUAAGUUCUCGUCCUAAUCUAGAUAAUAACAUGGCAGACAAAAGCAAGUAAAAUUGUAACAAUGGCACUUAUAUCAGUCAAAAAGUGUUAUUUUUUAAUUAUGAAUUCCUAUAUCAUACUAAUAUCUCGCAGUAUUUUUUAUCAAAUCUCCAAAAUAGGCAAAAGCAAGAACGGCGGAACUGGUACCAGGCACCGUACCGGUUGCCUGGUAGGACGAGUCGGUAUAGGCAAGCGUCGUGCCGUGUCGGGGCCGUACCGACACAUCUACGGCAAGGGAGAGGGAAAACGAGAGGAAAAGAGAGAGCGGAAGAGGGAGGGAGAGGGAGAGGAGGAAAGAGAGAGGACGGCCGAGGCUGGCCCCGACCAACCUCUCUUGCUUCCUCUCCCUCUCCCUCCCCCUCCCUUCUCCGCUCUCUCUCUUUUCCUCUUCUCCUUCCCCUCCAGCAACCCGUCUCGAUAUCCAUGGCAGAACUGUCCCAAUCGGCCGCCGAUAGGGCCCAUGACACCCCAAACCAGGUGGCUCAGGAUGGUUCCACAGACCUUGGGCAAAAGAAACAUCAAAAACACAGUUCUAGCAGGUAUGAAGAUACAUCAUAAUAACAACAAAUUUAACUGUCAAUAAGGCUAGGAAGUCAAUGAGACACAGAAACAUUGUGUGCAGACCACCAAGUAAUUUGAAAAUUUCUUUCCCCACCAACUUUUGUGUAAGAAAAUCUACCAACUCAAUGUUUAGAUACAAUAACAGUAGUCAGAUGAAGUAGCCAGAGAAACAUGUGUGCUAAAAUUAAAAAUAUAGUCAAACCUGUGUAGCUAGAUAUGCUUAAUAUUGUCAAUAAAAUGUAACUCAAACAAGAAGCUACACAUUAAAGAAUUCUAUGGCUUGGAACUGCAUAUCUGCACGAUCUUCUAUUAUGACAUAUCCAGAAAUUUUGGACAGUUAAAGUAUCUGUAAACAAAGCACUUAUGCUGCUUGUAACUAUUCCAAGGUAAAGACAUCAUAGGCUAUUCCUGCCAUGCCUUGAAUUAUUACUGCUCCUAUGGACACGAGCACUGUCAGCCCAAAGUUAUUUCAGAAAUGUUAACCAAACAAAAACGGAUAGCUUUUGAAUAACAGUUCCUAUAGGAAUAACAAUACAUGUCCCACUUUUUCUUAUUUCUCAAACUAAACACAGCCUAAGCCCUUAACCUCCUCCUUCUACUUGGCUGCCCUUCUUCCUUCACCUUUUUAUUUCAGCUACAAGUGAGAUAGUAUAUUUUCUUUUGGUUUCAUGAUUGGAUUUAAGAACAAGACUAGAAGAAGAAUAUAGUGGGAUCAAGCAUGGGAUGAUACGGUGCCCUUAUUUCUUUUUCUUUUCAUCCAAACUUGUCUCUUUGAUCAUUGAACAUAAGGUACCAUAUAUAAUUUACUUUUCAUCUUUACAAGUUAUGCACUUUGAUUCUCUUGGACCACGGGAUCAUUUGUUCUUAGAACUUUCUUUUUUCUUUUGAGAGCUGCUGCAGGGAGGGGGUGCUGGGAUUGAAGAAAAUUGUUGAUCAAAAAAUUUAUAGAUCCCCUGUGAUGACCAAUCCCCAUCCCCAAUAGAAAGUGACUCAAGGCAUCUGAAGGCCCAAUGACAAGCCAACCUAAACCCAUUUUUUAUGGGUUUGUCAUCUUCGAUCACCAUGACAUAGAGUUGAGACUUUCCAGCUAAAAACACUUGUGAAGGAACCUGCAAGACCUACAAGGGUCUCGCAAUGGUCAUAAAUAGCACGGUGAUUGAAGACAAAAACCAUGGAGAGGAAGUACAUGUUUCAAUUAUGGAUUUUAUAUUUGAUAACUCUAUCACCUAGUUAUGAAAUGUGAACAUGUCACUUUAUUCAAUCACCUUGAACAGAACUUAGGUGUUAGGGUUUGCUUUUUUUAGGCGACCACCCAUCAAGCAUUAAGGCACUGAAACAAUGCAACCAUUAAAUUGUCAGAACUAAUCUAAAUGUUCACAGGGUUGAAUGAUUGUUCAGUGCAAAACACACAUGUUCACUAGUUGUAAUUAAAAACAAAUUAACUGUCAAUGAAGGUAAACCAUCAAAGGUGUAUGUUGAUAUUCAAUGGUUGAUAAUACCACAACAAGAAGGAAUUUUGAUUACUUACAUGAGCAAAUAAAAACUACAAUUAAUUAAAAAUGCUUCAUUUUUGAAAUUGUCUUUUACAUAGUCAAAUAUCACCAAAAUCAGGCAGCGACAGAAGAAAGCGUACAAGUCAAAAUGAGAGAGACAAGAGCAAGAAGAGAGAGACCUCAAUAAAUGCAGGGCCAAAAACAUCCAAGUCUGUCUGAGUUAUAUUUAUCCUGAACAUCUCAUGGUCAGAAUUGUGGAGGUACUCCACCCCAUUUUCAUCAUAAUACUUGCUCUUCCCAUGACAUAUGACAGAACAAGAAUCGAAGUUGAGAUAUUUUCCAGCAAAUGACACAAGAAACCUGUCAUUAAAGAUAAAUUACAUCAAUUUAGUGACUUCUCUUCUUAAUAAAAUAUUUUGAUCACAAACACUGAUACAAUUCAUGGUUAUUGCAUAAAAAGAAAUACCAAAAUAACAUAUUCACAGGGUAUUCACGACCUCAAAAUGGUACUCACGAAAUAUAAAAAGAAACGUUACGAUCAUUAUAGUAACAUGUUGAUGACAAACAUAAUAUAUAUAAUAGAGAAGAAAAUUGCAACAAGAUUAUUAUAAAUCAACUGAUAAUAUUAGAACAAAAUCAUAGCUGAUAAAUGCAAAAUGAACUCUUCCUUUUUUUGGAAUCUUCCAUAUGUAAAGAUUUUAAGACCCAAAUAAGAAGCAGCAAUUUAAACAUUCAGGGGCUCAGAAGAAACUGCUACAUAAUGGGACACCUCCAACCCACCACCUUUAAAUUGGUCAUACAGCUGUUAUUGAAACCAUGCGGAAGCAGUGCACAAUUCAAACAGGGAUAACGGCAAUUAAAAACUUAUUAUCAUGUCAAAAGCAAGUAUGCUAUAUUUUUUUAUAAGUGGAACAGAAGCUAUUGUGCACAGAAGGUCUGCAUCUAAUUUACAAACCAUUUUUAGUAAAACAAUUCUCUAACAACUUUAAACCUCUGGUGCAAACAUUAAAGAGCACUUCAUAUACACCAUGCUUCAAUUGCAUUGGAUAUGUCUUUAUGAUCUCACCUUUCUAAGCUCUAUACAAUAACUUAAGGAUACCUCCUGAUUAUUAAUUCUAAUUGCAGCCUGUUUCUCAUUAGCGGAACCCAACUUGAUAUCAGCAAGCUAAUCCUGUAGGAUAGCAUUUAUACUCCCAAUGUCCCAAGCAUUCAUGUUAUAGCCUCAUUUAGUAUUGCUGCAUCAUCUCCUUAACAGAUACCCCUUGGAGCCUACUAAACCUCAUGGGCUAACCGCAGAUGGAAAUUCAGGUUAUUAAGCAUGCACGUCACUGUCCACAUGGUUUAACAAUCCACUUUCUUCUCUUUCAAUCUUAUUUAUAACCAUCCAGAUGAACAAAAAAUUAAAAAUUUUCUCUUUGUGAUAGCAAGAAAGUAGCUUGAUAGAUCUUGCACUAGCACACACACAGACACGCACAUGCACACAUGUUCACACGAAGCUGAAUAUUGGUGACCAUUAUAGGAUCUUAAAAUUUUUCCCCACUUCCGGCACCCUUUGAGUGACUACAACAAGUGGAACAUAAACCUUCACCUCCAAAAUUUCGCAUUUUCCUUUGCUAAAACAUAAGCUUGUUAGCUAAAAAUAAUUCUGAUUAUGUCAUGAGGCUAGCACUGAUUUCCUUUCAAAUCUUUUAACUAACAGUGUAAUCAAGUUUAAAUUUUGGGAUAUGUGCACCGUCCCUAAGUUCAGUCGAAUUAGAAUGCACUUCUAGUAGUAUUUCAUAUCCAUUUUCUCAUAUUGUUUGAUCAAGUUUAAAAAAAAUUAUGUGAUGGGAGAAUGCUUGGAAUGUAUCACCCUCCUUAUUGUCAUAUCUCAAGCUAGAAAUGAGCACAGUCAGCAGAGAGGAAUGAUUAUGGAUAAAAGACCAUAAUCAGAUUAUUCGACCAAUACACUGGUUCAACGAAAGAAGAAAGUCUUUGCCACACAUAUAUGAAGACCGAACUUAUUAAUCAUGAUCUAGUAGGUAUACUCUGCUUGCAUGACCCCCUGGAAAAGGACCAAGGGAGACAGCGAUUCCUGUCUUAUUGUAUUAGUAAUGAUACUAACCAGGUUUUCUUUUCAGGAUGGCACUAAUUAAGGUAGUGACGCAGGACAGCCUUGGGGAAAGAGAGAUUUGGGGCUUCAGGAUGCCGAGGCUAGACUGAGAGAUGGCAGAAAUUUCUGUUCCUAUCUGCACUGUAAAUAAAAAUGAACUACAUGUUAAGUCUCCUGAUGAAAAAUAUGGAACAAACGAUUAGGGUUUAAUCUUGGGUUGACGAUCUAGUGUUAGAUCAUAAACAUCAGAAAAAAAUGUUUAGAAAAACAUAAAAGAAAACAGAUAUAAUAAAAGAAGGGAGAGGGAUAUGAUCCAGACUCAAUCUGGGGUGGUUUCACUCCAAGAUUGAGCAUCAUCCCUGAAAUAAGAGAAGAGAAUCAAGAAAGAAGAGAUGAUAACUUGGAUUCACUCCUGAGGCAUCGUAACCAACUUUGUAUCAGUGGAGAUCUCAAAGCAAAACAUAAAUAAAUCCAUGAAUCGACACUGUCAUCACAACCCUAACAGAGGGAGCAGCGACAAGUUAAAGUUGACCUAAUCGUGGCAUGGGGCCAAAAUGCACCUGUUCUCAUAAAUUAUAACCUAAUUACAAGUCAGCCAUGUGACUAAGAUAAAUUAAAAUAACAAUAAGUUCAUGCUCAAUUUAACUUUGGCCAAACAAAAUACAAGAAAACAAUAGAAAACUACAUGAACCCAACUAACAACUCAAACCAUAAAACUGAGAUCAAAAGACUCAAACGACUCAAUUAGCUAAGACUCCAUGGACUCAAUUAAAGCCCUUAAUCAUCACCAGAUGCUCUCUGUUUGCAAGUCUCCUAUCUGAAAAUUCAAACUUCAGCAGCUAAAUCAAGCAGUUCAAAGUCAUGGCUCCACAAGUUCGAACAGUGAGAAAGAGAAAAAGAAAGGAAGAAAGGUUCGAGUGAAUAGAAGACUGUAGGUGAAAGGUGAAUUAAAUAUCUAUAGACGGAUAGACAGCUCCUAUCAGGUUCUCCAGAUAAAUUUACUAUAUAUUUAAUUUAGCUACCAGCAGCAUAUGUUGUUGGUUCCUGCCACAUGACAUACCUCUUGCAUAUUUCGUAAGGUUCAGUUUGAGAAUCAGUAAGUCUACGCUUCUCAAGACAUUUAAAUUUGGUAAUAAAGCUUAAGUUUCACCAGCAAGGAGGAAAUCAGUACUAUUUGUGUAAGGUGCAUAUUAGUUUCAUUCCAUCAGUUCAUUGGCAUAACUUGCAUAUUUCCUAACAUUCAGUUUGAGAAUAAGCAAGUUUGUUAGAAAUCUAUGCUACUCAGAACAUUUAAAUUUGGUAAAAAAGCUUAAGUUUCACCAGCAAGGAGGAAAUCAGUAGUAUUUGUAGAUUAUAAUAGAACAGAUAUUAUGAAAUAUACUGUUUUUCAUAAAAUUCAUUUUUCACAUCCUGUCAGCGUUCCCGAAACAGGUUUUGAAAAUCAACAGAACAAGUGUCUUUAUAUACCUUGUUUUCUCAGGUUUUUGCAUAAAUCUGUUUUAAUGAAACCUGAAAACCAAGCAGCUCCUCAAACUAGAGAAGUUAAUGUAAUCAAAUAUUCGAAACACUUACCUAAAUAACUGAAUAAAAAAUUAAAAUUUGAUUGCAAUAUACAAAAUAAAUAGUUUAACAUUUUCACCCAAUACAUAUUGUGGAAAAAGGAAACUUUUGUAAGCUAAAGGACCAAUCAAUCUUAGUAGAGCAUCACAAUUCCAUAUAUACUAAAGAGAAAAAAAAAUGCAGCUAUACUUGAGCAUCUGAAGCAUAUUUUAGAAUUUGUGGUCAUCCAUAAGUGCAGAGAUUCACUUAUACAUCAUGCAGCAAAAGUCAUAAAAUGACUGAUACAUUACCGAAAUUUAGGCUGGUUAAGAUUACUUCCACAGGCAACAAACUCCAUUGGUUUGCCAGCUUCAAAAUAAGUAGGGUAAACAUAAUGAAGCCUUGGAGCUUGAACCUCCAUCUUGAUGUUCAUCAAUGAUGUUCCAUCUAAAAUCACAAGUAAAAAAUCUGAGGCUUCACCACAUGCCCUCAUCCAUAGGACACUAAUAGGGAAAAGGAAAAAAGAGAAAACAGAAUGUUCCAAGCUAAAGAUAUAAAUAGAAAACAAUAUCAUCAGAUGUGCUCAAACAAAGGACACUUUGAAAUCAGCCUACAUAACUAAAAUGUUCCUAUAUGACAUGACUAUAAUGUUUUUAUAUGACUUGCACUUGUCACUGAGAUGAUGCAGACAACUAUCUGUGAUUCAUGAGACUAGCAUCUUAUGCAUUCUUAAUGAAAUAGAAGUCUAAGCCUUUUAUUUAAAUCAAUCAAUAUGAAGCUUAUCUGAGUGUUCACCAUAGUAGUCCCAAGGGAAAAAAAGGAAUAACCUAUGCAGCUAGGCUGACAAAUUUGUCAAUCAAAAUCCUAUCACAUGUAAAUGAUUACAAUAAAAUAAAGGUGCAAGACUUUUACUUGAAUCAAAAAUUAAUGAAGCCUCUCUAGUGCUCAAAUAGCAGUCUCAUGAAAAACGAAGGAUAGCGUCUGCAUAUGCCCACAUAUUUGUCAGUCAAAAUCCUAUCAUGCAAUUCACUAAAACAUAAUCUAUACAUCAUGCAUUAAAAACAUCAAAAAAUUUCAGCUCCAAGGUUAGCAUGAUAAGUUCAAGAUUCAUGACACCUUUCUCCAGACUAUCACCUAAACUAGCAAAUUCUUCUAGCACAGAAUUAGCUACUUCUGCCUUUCAUUUUUCUUGAUGCUUGUGACAUUAGUGGUUUCCCCAAAUGUCCUUAGAAAUCCUAACAUUUCAAAAUGCACUCUUUAGAAAUGAAGUAAAAAUUGUUUGUGCCUAAGGAAUAUGACUCUAAAGUAUUUGUGCCAUAAAUUUGUGCUUAUGAUGUUUUACCAAUAAAUAACAAACUUUCCACCCAAGAAUAGAAAGCUAGAACUGUUCCACAACAACAUAUACAUUGCUAUACAUGUAAGUUGAUCUAAUAACAACUAAGAAGCCCCGCCCCAUUUAUGUUGCAUUGCUUAUGAGUCAUAUUCUCACCAUUGCUAAAAAUAAAAUAGGACUCAAAAAAUGGUAAUGACCAAGGUUUUAAAUCCCGUUGGACAAGAUUGUCCUGGUUUUUCCAUGGAAAAGCAUGCACCACCUUCCUGCCCCAUCCUGACACUUGGGAGAGGGAUGUCCCAAAAUGCAUGGAUCGAGAUGCUAGGACAAUGGCAGGAUGUCCCGACCUAGUGCUUGGAACUAAGAUAUGCCGUCUUAGUACCGGGCCCCGUACCGGUGCCACACUAUCGCUAUGUCGGUAUGGUAUAGUACGGAGCUAGUUUGGCAUACCGAAUAUCAGUACACCCACCAUAUCAUGUACCAAUACCGAACCGGUAUAGUAUACCUCGUGUAGCCCAGUUCGGUACGGUACGGCGAAUCUUGCUUAGGACAGUAUGCCAUCCUGGUAUCCUGCGAGACAUCUCACCUUUAUUUGAAACCAUGAUCAUGGCACCACCUUAUUUACUUGAAUCGGUACGGUAUGGCGAACCUUGCUUAGGACAGUACCCCAUCAUGGCAUCCUGCGAGACAUCCCACCUUCAUUUGAAACCAUGAUCAUGGCCACCACCUUAUUUACUUGAAAGAAUAUUAGUGUGAAUGUCUUGAAUGCAAUAAUCUGUCAAUGGGACGCAAUACUAUGAUUCACAUGCAGCCAUGCAAGCAUGAAAUGCAUUAUUGGAGAACAUCUCACAAGCAUGGAUGGCAUAACAUGCGACAGUAGCAUGCCGACCGAGCCUACCACAAUACGUACCAUGCCAUGUUGUACCCAUACUUGGCAUGCAACUAGUACUGCACCGAUAAAUUAUGCCUUAACAUGCCGCAUCGAUUAGCUAGUAAAUCUAAGUUUACAAAUUACAAGAACAAGAUGAAAACAUGCUACUCAUCUGAUGGAGAAGAUACAUGCAGUCUGAUCAUUCAAUGCAAUCAAUGGUUCUCUAACUUGACAAUUCAGCUGCAAAAAAUAUUUUGAAUUGAGUAUAAUGGUUGAAUCGUUGCCAUACCAUUUAAUCACUGGACGGUUUUCACACUUAAAGAGAUGCCUAUUUUAGUUUUCUUUAGGGUCCAUACCUCUGUAGUCUUAUCCAAACGUAACAACACGUACAAGUACUAUGAACAGGAUUUCCACCAAUAGCAAAAAUUUCUUUGGUUGGAUUUCUAUGAAGAGUUUCUCCAAAGAAAAUGCUCACAUAAAAGUUGUCAUACAAGAAGCAAGCUCAAAAUCAUGCCCAGGGGGCAAACCGUACCAUACCAAGAGGGAACUAGUACCGAGGUGUGUACCAACCUAUACCAAGGCGUACUAACUUGUGCUGAGAUGCAACGAGAUGAAAAUUCAGAAAAUAAAACAGGGGAAGCGGCUGCGGAAAAAAAAAUAGAUUUUUAAGUGAAGUCAGCAAACCUCCGCUGCCCCCGCAGGCUCCGCACCCCCCCCCCGCUUCCGCCUGCCCUCUGCGGGCAGCGGAGGCCUCUCCUCCCUCCCUCUCUUCCCCGCUCUCUCCCCUUCUUUUCGUCUUCUCCGGCUCCGGCUGGGUUCGGCUCGUGCUGGUUUUCACAGCUCCAAUGUACCAGUUACACGCCGGACCGGUCCGAUACAGCCCGAACCGGCCAAUUCGGGCCAGUUCGUCAGACCAUGCAGUAUAGGACUAUAGGGUGCGUACCGUACCGCACCAAACCAGUAUGGUAUCGAUACAGUAUCCGCUACCGAGACUGCGGACCCUUUCAUUCUUUAAGCUUUUGUUUAAAAAUCUUUCUUUUUUAAUUUAGAUUUCAUAUUAAAACCAAAAUCUGAUUCAGAUCGUUUUGUGCUGGUAAUGCAACAGAUGUUCAAGUUAUUCAGGAGGUGGUGAUUACUGCAUCAAUUUCAAACCAAAAUUUUAAACACAGAACUUACAAUGUGAAUACCUUUUUCCUUAAUUGAGUGCAAAUAUCCUUGAUUUUAUUGCCUGAUAUCGACUUGAUGUCAAGACUCCAAAGAUUUGAUGAAAACUACCUGGCCAAGACAACCAUGAAACCUAAAAGGCCAGUUGGUAGGAAGACCCAUUUUAUUGUCCGCAAAUAAAGCUCAUGCAAUGAGGAAACAUACCCCCAGGAUACCACAAGACAGAAUCAAGACAGCUAGGACAGAUGAUAGCAUUUGCUAAUUCUACUUUGAGGCAUAUAUUACGAAUAAAAGAAUACUAAAUCAACUAAAUCACAAAUAUUAAUCGUCCACAGUCCAAUGGGAAAGGGAUUCAAUAAUGGGUAGAUUCUUAGACUAAUUAAACUCAACAAAAACAUAUAAAACACCCAAAACUUCAUGGGUAUUUAAGCAUGAGUACUCCCAUCAAUAAAAGUGGUAAAAAUAUCAUGAGAUAAUAUCCAAAUAAAAGAUGAAGCUAGAAGUUGAAGAGCAUCACUGUCUCCAGCAAUCUAAAAUCAAAAACUAUUUCAGAAUACGAUCAAAAUUAUAUUGCCAUUACCUAGUCAGAAAUAAAGAACAAAUAUAACAAAGUCAAGUCGGUGUAAAAUAAAGAAAUAAGAUGAGAUACAUUGACAUUUUCUAGUAAAGUCAGUUUAAUAAUGCGUACCUUUCAAAAUGUGAAUGAUCAUAUGACUAAGAUAAAUAAAAAAGGUGCCUCUUCCCAACAGCAAACUUCCAGGUGCAUUAACUAAGUCUCCUAUGUAUUGGGCCGCAUCUCGAUAUAACUGUUUGGAGCAAGUUUAUUUUAAAAUUUUACAACAUUUUGGAACUUACGCCUUGAUAAAAUAAUAUAGAAAUAAACUCAUUUCUAAUACAUCAUUAAAUGAUAAUCAGCAAAAGAAGCGCACAACUGCAAUCCUGAAUAAAUAUUAUAGAUUUUGAUGUAGUUCAGUACAGUGCAAAAAUAUGGAAAUAAUAUCAUGCAAAUAUUUUCAUCAAUUGAAGCCAUAUCGAUUGUUGUUCAUAUCAUUAAGGCAUUGAAAUGGGACAAAGACAUCAGGAAUCCAUAAGAUAGUUAUGCCAAAAACUAAAUAAUAUACAUUAAAUGAUUUAAAUUACUUUAUACUCUACAAACCAAUUUACGUUAGCACAUUCCUUAAAUUUACAUGAUUGAGGGUAAAAAUUUAUUAUAUCUAAUCAAGACAGAGUUGUUAUAAUCUUUGAUAUUCAGAAUAUUAAUUAUUAGCAACCAGAUAUCAGCUUCAAAAAAAUCGUCAAAUAAGUGGGUUAUCAGACCUAGGACCUUUAUUGUUUCCAAACCAGUUUAAAAACUCAAAGAAAAAUCCUGGUCCUAUAUGAAUUCAGAAGUUCAUCCUAAUCGAGCAUUGAACUAUUUGCAAAAAGAACUAACCAGAUUGUCGUGCUCCAUAUAAAAAAGCAAAAAGCUGAAGUUUUCUGAAUCUUCUUUGAAAAGCAGAGAAAAUAAGCAUAAGAGAUGAAAUAAAGAGACGAAGACGAGUUUGGCUGAACGGACCCGAACCGGGCAGUUCAAGCCGUACCAAGCCAAACCGAUCAAGAAUCAGAACGGCUCGGGCGGUCAGGCCAGUUUAGCUGUUAAAAAUAUUCUGAGCCUCCUGUUAGGCCUCUCCAUGCCCUCAUUCCACUUUUUGCAUGCCCCCAAGAUGUCGUUGUGCAUCCCGAGCACCCCAAUCCAUGCCCCAACCAAAGCCCUAGGUCCUCUCUUCCUCCCUCAUUGUUGCUUAUUGUGCACCUAUUCCAAGGCGAAAGACCCCAUGGCCCCCAUCUCGCCCUUUAGGGAAGAAGGCCCUCUCCAGAACUCUUUUCCAUCGAGCUUCAGUGGUUUGAAGGGGUGGAGGGUUCGAACACCUUCAGCAUCUCCGCCAACUCCAUGACAGAGAAGGCAGAGGAGGAGGUUGAGCAUGAGCAGCGAGAAGAAUACGGGGAGCUCUAUCACCCUCUCUCUCCCCUUUUCCCUCUCCCCCUCCCUUUUCCUAUUUCAGUAUGUCCCAAAAUGGCACAGUAUGGAUUUGUACCAUAUCGUGCCGGUUGCCAACCGGUACGAGCCCCACUACCAGUUUGGUGAACCUUAGGCAAAGAUGAAGACAAAAUUCAAUAAAGAAGUGAAAAAGGUAUUGACCCUUAGAACAGUCAAAGAAGUUCCAUAAUGCAUACUUAACAACAAGGCAACUAAAGCGCAUAUAUCUAAUUGCUGAAAAUGAUAUACAAUGGUAGAUCAAUACAUACUGAGGCCUAGAUGAUAUCAAACCCUCAACAAAAUGAUAUAAAUUUCCUGUGAAUCCUUUCUAAUAUUUGGAUAUUUGUUUGUUGACUUUGCUCCAAAAUUUUCUUUUGGAACAUUAAAAAUUUGUCUGCUAAACUCCCUGUCUGCUUGCAAUGAAGAGAUAAAUUCAAAUCUAUGAUGCUUUAUAUUUUGGCAUGUCCCCGUUCCUAGAGACUGACUUAAAUUAGUAGGUGAAUGCCCAUCAUUCUGUGCGUGUUAUGCUCCAAAGAACUAACACCUUACGAUUCCAGACUACCAGCCUCUCAAAGAGUUAUUAAAUGUGGGAACUUCGAAUUUUAUGAACAAGAGCAAAGUUCUACCUUGAAAACAGUUAAUUCUGCUACUAAGGGAUACUUCUUCCGACCAACUGGCUUUGCUUGUAAUAUUUCAAUAACCAGAUCGAGUCUUCCUACAACAGCAUUCUAUGAAUAAGAUGAGGUAGAUUCUCCCCACCUGUAAGAAAUUAACUGAUGCAAAAUGCAACAUCGCAGGCAUAGGUUCAAUCAUUCUUCAGCUCCUCAUUUUUAUUCAAUUACAAAAUGCCUCAUUCUGAUGGAGAUUUGUGGCAUCAUUGGAGUAACUGCAGAUGGAGAUCAUAUAAUUGUAAAUUUCAGCUACCUUCAUCCACAAAUAAGUGUAAAAGCGACUGUGUUUUCUUUCUGGAACUAUACGAGGGCUAACAUAGAUACCACCUACUUCAAACAAAAGGGCAUAAAUAUGUUUCAGGAUGAUCAGCUGCUCACCUAAUUUUGCCAAUCUUAUUUGAUGUUUGCCAGAUGAUAGAAGGGCCAAUAUUUGUUCUAUCAUAGAAGGCACGCGCAAGUGCAUGAUCAGGAAAAAAAUUUAAAAUUUACCAGUUGACUGGAGACUUUAUUAUUGGUAUAUUGAUCGGUCCAGCACGGAUUGAAAUAGGAGCCAGUUCAACAGGAAGCUUUUGAAAAUGCAGUGCACCUAGGUAAAUAAGGAACAAGAUGAAUACAGAAGUUAAAACAAGCAUCCCACACCUGAAGGGUACCCCACAUAGGCUUUUCCCGAAACCCCCCAGUCACUAAGGUAAACAAAAUAGAAAACGCACCAAUUUCUGCACCGGUUCCGGAAGAGCGAAGAAAAAGGGGAUGUUUUGUUAAUGAAAACAAGGAUAUCAAGAGAGAGUAUAUUAGAAGAGAUAAGAUCAGUUAGAAAUAGAUACCAGGGAGGUAGUUAGGCAACUAUAUAUUAUCUUUUCAGCAGACUUCUUUUUCCAAAAUUGACCGCAUUCAUAGUUAUAAUAUAAUGAAGUUCUUUAGAUAAGUAACUAAUUUUCUACUCAAGGGAAAAAUUAACUAGACCCAAUAGUCCCCCCAAUGCUCUCCUUAAUAUAGCACAGAUUGGCUCUAUGGAGGUUUUGUUUUUCUAAGGUCUUGUCUUUCCUUUCUGUCAACUUAGUUUCCUCUUCUACACCCUGCUUCUUUUCUUUCUUCCCUUCAGUAACUCUUUUCAUGGAUCAUGUUUUUAAAGAGAUUAUCCACGUGUUCAGACCUCAAAUAUAUUUCAGCGAGUAUUAAUCUAAUUUUGCAUAAGGGGUCUCAUCACAAGCAUUUCACUGAGUGCAUUUUCAGCCCUAGAAGACAGCAACCAAAACAUUAUGCACCAUGCUGAUGCUGGUUAACGGAUUUUCAAAAAAAUUGUAGCUGAUGAUCAAAUUCCAAAUUAGCCUCUAUUAACAUCUACCAUCUUCAAGAAUGUAAUGGGUUAUCCCAUAACAUCAUCUCAUCAUUCCAGUGGUUUCUAUUCGAAGUCUGCUUUCAGUCCUACAGACCAAAGAUUAAUAUCAUGUACUAUGCCUUUGCCAUGCCAGCAUGGUAAUACAUACCAUGAUGUACCUUGUCAACAAUUCACCCCACACAACAUCAAAAAAUGUUUGUCAAAAGUUUUACAACCAACACACUAUCGUUUGAUUCUUUUCUAACUAAACUGCAUUUUGUGUUAUAUUCUUGUACAAAAAUAUUUGGAGCAAAAAAAACAUGACUUUUUUGACUGAUCCAUAGGCAUAGCACUACAUCAUCCAAGAUGUCUAUGUCAAUUAUUGUUUAACCAGCAUAGUUGCAAGCACGGUUUUCAGCGCUCACCCGUACUCAUACUGGCCCACUACUGUACCUAUAUGGUAUGGACUAUGGAGGCUCAAUACUGCACCACUCUGAUAUAUGGUCCAGUUAGUGUGCCAACUCCAGCUGCAUACCAUAUAUCAAUACAGGUGCAUGACAGUACCGAGACUGAAACUAUUUCUACGUUAACAGCAUAUAAGCUCAAAAAUUCAUGGUAACAACUAUAGGUGGCAUGCAACUAUUUGCUCUACAAAUCAUCAGCACUGUAUUGGUGCUGUAGACAUGCUCCUUGUAUUGUGAGAAAAUCCUGUAAACUUUAGUUGUCAUUGGCACCAUACUGGCAUACAUAUUGUAACAUCUAUUGCAUGAGGCUUUUGGAGCUACACCGGUGAAUGCAUAUUACAUAUCAAGUUGGCAUCUGCUCGCAAUAGGUUGUCUAGCAAAAUGACUCAAAAUUUAGGUAUUCAAAUUUGCAUGAACAACCCAUAUUUGGAAUAGGUAUCAGACAUCUCUAACAUAGUUUAAAGAAAUGGUUUUGAGGAGGAUUUAUUAUUAAGAAUCAUUAGCAAUAUUGAAAUCAGUACCUAAGUGAAAACAAUGAAAAUAUAACAGCAGAAGUAUAGAAUAAUUCUCCACAAACAUGUGACCAAUCAUCAAAAUAUCUUGUCUACAUGGAGAUCAUCCAAAGGCAUGUGCAAGAAGACUUCCCUAACAGCCUUAAUGCUCUGUCUCUUGUAGCAGUAGUAGAAUGUGAUACCACCUAUAGUGUAAUCCCUUUUAUUGUCAUGGUUUGAUUUGAAUUUGAAGCAAGAAAAUACAUAUCCUAAAUUGAUCCUAUAAUGAGAAAACCAAAAAGAUAAAGAAAUAUGGGUUUUUCUGAUUCUAAUUCUCUGAUCUCAUAUAGAACAAUGAUUUUGUAUAAUUAAGCAUGUGAUCAAUAGAUAAUGCCUACAUAUCUUCAAACAGUAUUUAAACAAAAACAGAACUGUUUAAGCAACCUCAAAAAAGGCCAUUCAAGAGAUUUUCAUAACAGGGGAAAAUUAGUUUAUGAGCCCAUAUCGUUGCAUAAUAGCCCAACCACGACCAUUGGCAUGCUAAUACAACACAAUACGGUCAAUGUGAAACAGUAAGCACUCCUCUCUUUUGUAAUGUACAGUAUGAUCAACANNNNNNNNNNNNNNNNNNNNNNNAGUCUUUAAUAUUGUUAAUUUGGUGCUUGACUGCACUUGAUUGACAAUUACGGGCAGAUAACUAAAGCAUGGAAUGCCGUACCGGCCCAUACCGGCCGGUACGUACCGGUCCGGUCCUAGGCCGGUACCAGAACCACCAGAAAACCGGUAUUUUCCAGUUUUUUUAGCCGAACCGGCCGGUACGGAGCCCGUACCGGUCGGUACCGGCCUCGUACCGGUCCGGUUCGCACCAGUACGAUUUUUUUUUAGAACCACAGCGCCUCACACUGUGGUUUUUGAAACCACCGCGUACCGGCCGGUACGUACCGGACCGGACCGGUACCGUACCAGUCCGGCCGGCCACCGGUACGCCGACCGGUAUUGGUACGGCAGACCUUGAACUAAAGCGUGCAGCAUAUUGUACCUAUUCCCCAUAAUUUUGGUCUACUAUUAGUGUAUCAUUGACGUUACAUGAAAUAUCAUCUAAAUGAUGUUAUUUCUUCUCUCUCAACUUCCAGCACCAAUACCAUCCCAUUACUAGCAACGAACAAGCACAUAAGUAUUAAUAAAAAUCACAUAGAUAAACAUUUAUUAUAAUCAAAUAUACAAAUAAUCAAUAUUCAUUUAUCUACCAUGCUCCUUCAUUAAGUCUAAUAUAUAUAAUUAUCAGAAAAUAUAAAACACAAAUAUCAACAGCGUAUGUCCAAACAACUCAUCUUUGGACUGAGGAAAGAUCAACAAUGAAAUCUUAACCAUCCUCUUCAAAAUGUGAAUGAUCAUAUGACUAAGAUAAAUAAAAAAGGUGCCUCUUCCCAACAGCAAACUUCCAGGUGCAUUAACUAAGUCUCCUAUGUAUUGGGCCGCAUCUCGAUAUAAGUAUAUAUCACAGGAUUAUCUCAUUUUCCCCUAUCAGUUGUUGAUUUUGGCAAUUUAAGUAUCCAGUACCAUUCCCAACAGUCUUCCAAGCUAUAUGUUUUGCAUAACUACAUUGGCACUCUUGUCAAGGCAACUCAUAAAAUCCUUCCAAGCUACAAAAAUUCCAUUUCCAUAUGAUCUUCGAUACACUUUAUCCUAUGAUUCAGAAGCAAGCUUUGUUGCUAGGCAUGCAACAAGUUAGGGACAGGAUCAUAUUGAGUUUGAUUCAGAUUUGACAAAUGGCUUUGGGUAUAUGAUCUAGACCUGAAUGCAACUUAUUCAUUCGAUGGAUUGGUUUUCAUUUCCAAACAGGUUAAAGCAUUGAGUAAGCUAUAUGUGGCUUGACCCAUUUCCUUGAGAUAGUCAUGGCCGAACAUGAACAGGUUUAGCUAGGUUUGAUCAAGUAUGCCAUACCCAUACUCGCCAAGUUUGUAGUACACAUCUUGGUUUGCAUCAACCAUGAGCCCAAAUUUUGUUUAGGUCCAAAUCAGGGUCAUUACUCACAAGUCAGAUGCAGGUUUGUAAUAACGAAUUAUACACAGUGAUCCACUUCAUGAAGAAAAACAACCAUUUUCUAUCAAUGGACACACAGGAACUCAUUAAAAAUGUAUAGGCAUUUACAAAAUAUUAAAAAAAAUCAUGUCUAACAUCUUGGCAUAAUAGAAUGGUGCUUAAGUUUGUUUUAUAUUUUUGAUGUCUGUGAUGCCUUAACACCCUAGCACCUGGAAAUGGAUUGAGUUUCAAACGAAAGCACAAGAAAUAUGAUUCAACUCUACCAAAUAUGAAAAAGAUCAUUAUGUGUACAACAUACAGUACCUUCUCCCACAUAAAUUGUGGCAUUGCAAUGAAUACAGUCAAGAUCGUACAUCCAGGACGAAUAUAACCCUCCAACUCAACAGGCAUGUUGGCCAACCACUCAAAUAUCUGCAGGUUUUCAACAAAAUUGAAUUUCAUUUCACCUCAAACAUUUCAUUGAAAAGGCACAACUCUUUUAUAUACAAAAGUUUCACUUGAAGACUUCAAAAAAUACUUGGUGGCGUAGUCGUCUAGGAAAUUCUGCAGGAUUCCAGUCAUAAAGCUUGAAUGAAAUACGACCUGUAGGACACUACAAUCAAGUAAUGCAUCAUCAUCUUAGUCCAGGUGGUAUUAUGAAACAGCAUGCAUAUACGUCAUUGAAAUAUAAUGCUAGCCAAAGGAGAAAGAAUUUCAACCAAGCUGCCCAAAGAACCAAGGAAACAAAGAAACUCACAACAGAUGAAUAAGUACUCUUGUUGUCACAAAGUGUAGAGGAAAGGGCAGACUUCGAAAUAUCUAUUCUUUCAUCAGCACGAGCUUCAUCAGAAGCUGCUAAAGAAACUAGACCAGCAUUCUGGUCAUUUUGGAAGCUAGGAAUGGAACAAAUGGGAGAACCAUUCCCAUCUUCAGAUCCCAGAAGUGUUUCUCUGUCCAAACUUCUGUUGCUCACAACAGUCUCAACUGUGUCACAAGCAAUAUUUGACAUAUCUGCACAGAUAACAAAAGCAGAAUACAAGAAGCAGAUAUUAAAGGCCAAGUAAUGCUACAUUGUUGACAGCAAAUACACACACACACACAUAUAGAGAUCAGAAAUGGCAUCUAAAGAGAACAAGUAAAUAAAAGAGUAUUUCUUGCCAGCACAAGUGUAGAAAGUCUAGAAUUGGCACACAGAAGAAUCUAAUCACCAUCAAGCCCAGAUAAAUGAAAUAGAAGCCAUGCUCUAUAAUAAAAUAGUUUUAAGAUGGAUGGGCUCUUACAAGUAUAGCUCCAGGGAAUUUUUCGGAAAUUUUGCAUGAAAACUGCCUUCAGCAUUGGAACAAAUGGCUUCUAUUUUACAAUUUAAACAUAGAAAUGAAUGCAUAAAUUUUCAAUAGUUAUUUGACUUAUUUCUAAAUCUUUAUGGCGAGAGCUCUUACUUAUUUUCUAAUAUGAUAUCAUGGAUAUAGACAAUAGUUGAACAUAAGUACCUCCUUAGUUGAACAUGAGAACAUGCCUUAGCACAACGGUAAAAUUUCUCCAUUGUGACCUGGAUGUUAUGGGUUCGACACACGAAAAAAGCCUCAAUGCACGUGGGGUUAAAGCUGCAUACAUUUGACCCUCCCAAACCCCGCAGUGGCGAGAGCACAUGCGCUUGGAUGCUCUGCCAUUGCCGACCUCUAUGUAUGUAGUUUAGAUUUAAAUUAGGUUUUGUAUUUAGUUAAUUUAAAUUUUUGAAUCUUAUUUUCAGUUAUUUGCUGUUUUAUUGAAUCAUAGGAACCUUAUAUUUAAAUCUUUUUGGAGAUGGUUAGGUUGGGCUAGGAAAGAUUUUAGGUCACCAGGAUUGUGUGUUGAAUUGAUUCUAAUGGCUUUUCACUUUUUUUGGAUACACAGGUUCAGACAACUUUCUUUGUAGAGUUUUGAAAGAUACAAAUUUUGCUAUUUUUAGAAGAUGAAGUAUCUAUUUGCUUCAUUUCUUUAGGAGGAAAGUCUAAGGAAUGUUAUUAAGUUUAACUUGAGCAAUAGAGGCAAGAAAGCACAAGAUUCAUUUUGGUGAUGAGCAAUGAAUAUUGUUACUUCUUUCUUCCUAUUUAUCUGUCUUCUUGUUCUCUAAGGGUGUGUUUGGUGUUGCUUCUGCUUUAGAAAAAGAGGAGAAGCUAAAUGCUAGGUUUUCUAGCUAAAAGCGGUUUUUGACUUCUUUUUAUAGAUGCAUUUUUUAGAUGAUGUUACCAAACAAUAUUUUUUUUGUGAAGAACUUUCUUGAUUUAAAAAUCAUAAUAGUACUUUUUUUUAAGCAAUAUCGAACAUGCCAUGACUCUUCCACUCUCUACUUGGCAUGAAAAGUCCCACAGAUCACAGAAACAAGCACCUUCUAAAGUAUAAAUAUGUUUGAUUACAGAUUUUCUGCACAUAUCUGAAGAAGUUUUCAAUAUCAUAUUCAUUUUCAGAUCUGACAUUUAUUUCAGAUCCCUGCCUAUUGUGGAUCCUAUCGUUUAGAUUGAAUCAACACCAUCUAUGAUGUGUCCCCAGACCAUAGAAUAUGAGGCCACAAAGAUUGAUUACACAAUAGUUAUCAGUUAGACAAUGCUCUUGUAAUUAUUGCCAGCACUAUUGAAAGGAUUUUGAGUAACAAAAGAGCCUUACUGCAAAUAAGCUAGAUCCUUAAAAGAGUUUAUCCANNNNNNNNNNNNNNNNNNNNNNGGUCAGUCUACAUUAAGAUAUGGUGUAAAUGUUAUGUAGCACAGAAGACCAAAGAUUUAAAUUUGUACAAUAGUAUGUCCAGACCCAAGAAGACAAGUUCCGCUCUAACAUAACCUCGCCCUAACAUCUCUAACACAAUCGCCCAGACUAUGGUGGUCAAAUUCAUAAUAUUUUAGCAUGUCAUCAGCCUUCUAAAUAGAGGUCAUGUUCAAUUCCCUAAAGAGUGGUUUCGGGGAUUAUUUUUUCAACACUCAUAUAAUUAAGCUAGCGUGACAGACAUGAUUUGUGGCGCAAUUCAAGCAUGGUUCAAAAUAGGUGCAAGUGUAGUGAAGUUGGCCACAACUCAAGAAAGCACUGUUGGUUCCAAUUUGACGGAUGAGUCAGGCCAUGCGGGUGCUACCCAUAAUGCAGGUGCUGCUGCUACCCGUAAGAAUGGUUAUGGGCCAAGUUACUUGUUCAGUUCAUAAUGAACACAUAAUCCAAGCACUGCUAUCAUUCAUCAAGCAAUGAACUGCUCAAAAUAUAGAACUAACCAGAGCAAAAGAGCCUAAGAAAAAUUAACCAACACAUUGAAAUGAUGGUCUUUAAUCUACUUCUAUUGAAUAGAAACAAUCGCAUGGAUACAUGAAAAAAUGCAACUAAAUUGAGUAUAAAUGUGGAUAUAUUCAAGAUAUAUGCAAGUGUAGUGAGGCUGACCACGGCUCAANNNNNNNNNNNNNNNNNNNNNNNNNNNNNNNNNNNNNNNNNNNNNNNNNNNNNNNNNNNNNNNNNNNNNNNNNNNNNNNNNNNNNNNNNNNNNNNNNNNNNNNNNNNNNNNNNNNNNNNNNNNNNNNNNNNNNNNNNNNNNNNNNNNNNNNNNNNNNNNNNNNNNNNNNNNNNNNNNNNNNNNNNNNNNNNNNNNNNNNNNNNNNNNNNNNNNNNNNNNNNNNNNNNNNNNNNNNNNNNNNNNNNNNNNNNNNNNNNNNNNNNNNNNNNNNNNNNNNNNNNNNNNNNNNNNNNNNNNNNNNNNNNNNNNNNNNNNNNNNNNNNNNNNNNNNNNNNNNNNNNNNNNNNNNNNNNNNNNNNNNNNNNNNNNNNNNNNNNNNNNNNNNNNNNNNNNNNNNNNNNNNNNNNNNNNNNNNNNNNNNNNNNNNNNNNNNNNNNNNNNNNNNNNNNNNNNNNNNNNNNNNNNNNNNNNNNNNNNNNNNNNNNNNNNNNNNNNNNNNNNNNNNNNNNNNNNNNNNNNNNNNNNNNNNNNNNNNNNNNNNNNNNNNNNNNNNNNNNNNNNNNNNNNNNNNNNNNNNNNNNNNNNNNNNNNNNNNNNNNNNNNNNNNNNNNNNUUACAAGCAUAUAUUGAAAGGAUGUCACUAAGAGAAGAUGAUCACUUCCGAGGGUUAUCUCAAAGUUAUAAAACUGUAACCACAUUGAAUACUAACUAAAUGGAAAUUAUCGCUCCAUUGUUGCUAAUUCUAUAAACACUUUAUGAACAUAUGAUAUGAUGUAGGACAUAGCAAACUGAAACACGAUCAAUCACACGUCUGUCCAGUCACUUGAACAAAAUACAGCAAUACUUGUACAUAACGAAGAAAACCUGAAAAACAUAUGACUGGACUUAUUCAGAUAAAUAAUAAUGCAUCAGAUAAAAUGAACGAUUUUUUUCAUCAGUACCAGCCAUAUACAAAAAGGAAAGGGGGAAAAGGCCUUUCCAUCUCAAUAUUGAUGCUAAAACCCAAUUAACACAGCAUCUUGCAUGCCUUGGUAUAUAAUUUUGAUCAGAGUAGCUCACGGCCAUAAGAUAAACAUUGCAACUACUGUCUAACACAAUAGUCAUACCUUUCCCUGGUUUGCCAUUACAAAUAACAUCAGUUGGAGGGUCUCCUUGAGCUUCCAAUUCUUUCUCCACAACAUUUCUUGAAUCACUAGGUUUUCUCCGCCUCCUUUUGUUGUGUCUCUCUAAUUUUCUCCUACAGCUACGUUUACCCUCAUCAAAAUCUGACAGCAAAUGAAACCUGGAAUGCCAGAAGAUAGUAUUGAUCAAAAUCAUGGUAGCACUAAACCACCUCUACCAUUUUUUAAUUCCCAAGGAAUACAAAUUUUAGUACUAUAUAACCCACCAUUCAUAAUAUAGGGACCUGUUCCAAGUACGGAAAAAGGUUCCAUACUUAAUUGAAUUACAUUAAGAUCGAAAAGGCAUGGUAUCUCCAAGGUCCAAGCCAAAGUUUACUUGAUCAUACCAUUCCCAUGGUUAAAGAGCAAUAAAUUAAAGUACUCACACUUCUGAUGUCACAAGAAAACUACGAUUACAAAACAAACACGACACUUUUUUAUAGGAAAUCUAGAUAAGAACGUCACCAAGGAUACUGCUGAAAUAUUUUUGCAAACUUUAAGUGGUAAAUCAAAGAGCAUUUAAGGGCUUCCAUUUUUUGAUUAAUAUAAGAUAAAAAGCAUAUCUUGUCAAGAAAACAGUUACAAUCACCACAGUUCAUUUCUCUAUCUUUAAAAAAUUGACAAUCAUUGUGUCAGCAUCAUCAUUUACUUCUCCAAUUCUUCAGUAAUAACUUCGCCAUGCAUGUAUUCAGGAAUCAAUAAGUUUUCAUAAUAAUGUCCCUUUAAUUAAAAAAAGAGCACAUUUUAGUAAUAAAUAUUUAUUACAAAGUUUUACUACAUUUUAGCCUCCAAUAGUAAAGUAUGCAUUUACUUGUUGCUAAUUAUGAAGCUACGGCAUAAAAUUUGAUUCAACAAGAAUCAUAAUACUACGGGCCAUACAUUAAUUCAUCCAGGAUAAGCAUGCCCAAAUUUCUUCCUUUAACAGUCCACGCAACUAAAAGGAUAAACAAGCUCUUAACUGGCAAUAUCCCUAUCAUUACCAGCUUUUAAUACCGAUAUUGUCAAUGGUUAUGGUGACUAUAACAUAUAAAAACAAAGAGUUGAUAAAAUUCAGGCACAUAAAAUCUUAAAUAUCUGAUAAAAUUCACUUUGAAAGAACUGGUUGGAGUUGAGUUUGGGCUCAACAUUAUGCUUAUAACUUUCCUAUCAUCUAGAAGCAUAAAUGCAGUCAUUUCUUCGUUAUGCCAUUAAAACUAUGGAAAAAACAUAUAUGUGUUGAGGUGCAAUAUACCACAGAGCUUUGUUCUCAGCUCAAACACCAGGGAUAUUAUGAAACGAACAAUUAUAAUUAAUUUCACAAACCCAACCAACAGUUCACUCUACAAAGCUGUAAUUAACUAAGGAAAGGGUACACCAUACUCUACUAUCACAUAACAAAAUAGGGCAAAAGAUGCCCAUUUCCAUGGAAGCCACUGCUUCCUAAACAGCCUAAAGUUAGCUUUUUAUGACACUCCUUUUUAACAACUAUUAUGUCCAGCAUAUAUUUGAUAAAGAAGGGAAUUCAUGCAUGCAUAGCACAUGCUGCUAAGUAGGUUUAUCACUUAAAUACUUUAAAAAUAUGCAGGUUCAUGCGUGUGUGAAACCUAAUUCAACUUUGCAAUUCAUUGUUUGAGAACAGAAAAUUCAAAAUUUUAUUUUUAAUCAAUACAGGAUCAUGAGUCUAUCUCAAUUCACCAUUUCGUACCUUAUAGAGAAGGUUUUUCUGUACCAGUUCCUUGAUUAGAAGCAGAAUAAAAAUUAUGCAACUAAAAAGCAGCAUAAAUUGGCAAAAUUUAAUGUAAACAUCAAAUAUGUCAGUAAAAUUACCCUCCAAUCUUGGAGAGAAGGUAAAGCAUUUAAUAAGUGAUUUGUGCAUGUCACACAACCAAAUUUAUCUCAAAAACCCGUCAGCUAAACAUUGAAUUUGAGGAUGAAGCAUCCAUCAAAGAACAUUAUGCAGAACAUAAUCAGAUAAGUAUCGAGCACUUCCUUCUCCACCAUGUAGUCUUCCUUGUGCUAAAGAUCUGCAUCUUCCAUCAUCAAUCUCCCAUCUCUUCUCCACCAUCCAAUCCCUUCCUAUUCACUGUUUCUCCAUAUGCUGCUCCCAGCCCCCUGGCCAUGACAACAUACCUCCCAAAACAGAUUUCAGAAGACUGAUUUCAUCUGGUGUGAAACACAUGAUCAUCCUCGAGAACAGAAAUUUGAUGGAUUGCACAAUCCCACCAAUCAAGACUGUUUGAGGAUUGAAGUAGAGCUGAUAAGUAUAGAGCUCCUUCAACUCAUUGACUUCUUUCUCAUAAUCAUUCUAGCGCGGAUAUAGAGGUGGACAUUUAUAAUAAAAAGAAUGAGUGUGCAUACGAGAGAGAGAGAGAGAGGAACAAUCUUUUUUGACUCUAAAAGUCCUCAUGAGAUGAAAGUCCCUCUAUUUGCUAAGUUUUAACCCUCCAAAAUUUUUUCCCAAGACAUUUUAAUCCCCUCUAAAUUCUUGCUUUAUAAAGAACUGGGCCUAGAAUAUUGUCCAAUAAAAUCCAGGUCUCUUGCCCAUAAUUUUGGACUUCUACUUAAAUAAGAAAGAUAGUGAGUUAGUGACAGAAUCCAAUCCCAUUCAAAUUCCCCUUAAUUCUAACCAUCCAAACCACAGCCUUCUAAAAUCUUUCUCUUCCUCUCAUCUUAAACACCUCCUAGGCUCGGACAACCUCCAAUCUUUCUCACCUCUAUAGUACUCCCAUAUUUAUAACUAUACCCACUUAUGUUUUAGUUUUUUGCUCCAAGUAAUAAGAGAAGCACACCAAACAAAAAAAAAAGAGUAUUCAUCAAGUUACAUAAAUAAUUGAAGAAAAUCUUAAUUAGAUGUCCAUUUCCUUUCUUACUAUAAUAUAUUCCCAAUAUAUUCCCAAAGAAUAGACUACCUCCAAAACUGUUAUUUCUCAUUAUAAUAUAAAUAAUGGCUGUUACUUGCCCAUUUACAAUAAUAUUGAACUAUUGUGUUAUCCAUUAUUAGCCAUUAUAACAUGAAAUAAUAAACAAUAACAAGAAAUUAACAUGUUGUUUGCUUAAGUCACCAUAUAUCACCAAAUAAAAUUAUUUUUUCAAUUCCCAUUCAGACUUUUCUUGUUCAAGAAAAGUGAACGUCACAUAUCAUCUGUUAUUUUCAUUAUAUUUUCGUUGCUAUAAUGGGAUCACAAUUACAUAAUUGUCAUUAUUUAAAAGCCUAUCUUGUAUCAAGAUAGCAUCGAUUGGAAGGCUUUUAAAAAACCCUUUUAGCAACCUAUUAUCUACUCACAUGACACCUUUUAUUUGACACAUAAGAGCUCACCUAUUAAUCAAGACGGCAAGAUGUCACAUAUUAAAUAAUAACAUAAAAUGAAUGGAUGGCCCCUACAGCAACUUUAGCCUUUCAGUCGAGAUAGUAAGAUGUCACUGGAACGACCACGAACUCUCAGACAAAGGAUAAGCAUUCAAAUGAGUAAGGGACAAGGGGGGAUAAAAAGCUGAGUGAGGCUCUGAAACAAGAGAUAGUCUCCAACUUUGACAAGUCGACAAAGGCAAGAGGAGGAGGCGGAAUGGUAGACAAACCAUGGGGAAGGGAGGAAGGGAGCAAGCAAGAGAGAGAGAGAGAGAGAGAGAGAGCCUAAGGAAUAUAGAAGGGAGGAUGUUUGGAGCAGAACCAAUGGGACAGUGGGGAUGAAGUCUUUGAGAACAAAAGAAUUCUUUAUUUUUUAUUUUUAUUAUUAAACUAAUUUUGUAACAGCUGGCAUGCCUAGAAACUAGAGAACAGUUGGCUUACUCAAAACUUGAAAGGAAAUAAUGGGCAUUUAUCUAGGAUAUAGAUGUGCCAAUCGAAAAUAAGCUAGAAGAAACUAAGAGGCAACUAAAGUAGGGGUGUAUAUAUAUAAAUAGUUAAGAUGUCCUACUUUGAUCCGAACGGGGGUUUUGGAUCACCUCGCUCUUUUAAAAUUAGUAAAUAAUCAUAGAUGACUAUAACUAAAUGGUGUAAUAGAUGAAAGCCUUAGGCCCCAACAACUUACAUCAAGGGGAAAAAAUGGCAUGAUGUCAAUAACACGUUAAAUGACAAAAUUAUCAGUAUAAGAAUCACUGCUACCAAAAAAGGGCAAAUACAAGCAAAAACAACAACAUUAAUGAUAAAAAAAGUUGAUUAGUAAACAUAGUUUGCAAUUUUUGGUCUAUAAGGGCGAAGAAAAGUGGCCAUGCAUCUUAUCCAAUGUUUCUAACCCUAAGCCACUUGGCUUAGGUUACUUUGUCCAAAUUCCAAAACAAAUCUGUUUCAGGAUUUCAAUCAAUACAUGCUUAAUUCUACCAAGUUCAAAUCACGGUGGCAAAUAAUGGCCGGCACAAUGCAUACCUAUCAAUAAAUACUUUAUCAACCCCUUGGCAGUAAAUGGAGCAUUGAUUUGGGAAAAUACCAUCCAACUGCUCAAAGUGAUCGCAGAUCGAAUAUCUCAAGGCGGAUCAAAGUUCAUUCACCCUGAACCAAGCAAAACUAGCCCCAUAUCAAGCGGAAUUGCCUAGCACUACUUGAAAUAACUUAAACAGCCCCUUUUGCAAUCAUUCUCCACCAUCUGAAGAUGGAGAAAAAAAUGAAGGAGAAGGGACAACUACCUAGGGAGAUUAGCCUGCAGCAUCGAAGCUUGCUUUUUUGAUUUUUGGGGCUAAAAAAUUAUUAUAGUCAAAGGCUCAAGGUGCACUAAGGUGGCAAGGACCCCAAAAGCCUAGACACAAGGUAUAAAGCAAGAUGUAGAUAUGCAUAAAUAAUAAUGAAUACAUAAUAUUAAACAUAUUUAACAAUGAAUUACCAGUUUUUUAAAAAUGUGAUGGUUAUUUAUCACCAUUCAAGUUUGAAUCUGAGACCUCUCACUUGGAGAGAUAGGUACCAACUAGCUGAGCUACUACCUAUUGCCACAAUAUCAAUUAAUCAACACAAAUAAAAAUAU
rnacentral:lncRNA from 1 species